rnacentral:lncRNA from 1 species
CUUGAGGGUGGUUGCUCCUCUCUGCAGAGCCAAUGACUUUCUUUUCCAGUCCCCCCACGAUACCAACAGCCCUUCUACUGGAGGAUACUCCAGCGGAAGUAAUGGAUUGCAUGACCUUUCUGCUUUCACAUAUUUCGUAUGUUGAGGAUUAAUGUCUGUCGUCUUUCUGUUUCUGUAUAUUUAGCCUUGAGGAUUAACGCGCUAAGCCAACCAAGAAAAGAAAAAUGGGAUUCAAUUUGAGGCUGUGGUGACUGAUGAUUUCUCUGGGCAAUGAAUUUUGGGGCAUUGAGAAAAAGUGGCCUGUAUCUUGGUUGGGCAACCCGGAAGGCAGAAUUGGGAAAAAGCUGAUAUGGUUUUUCCUUUCAUGCAACCGAUUUUGCAGCCAUGGCGGUUCGCUUUCUCCUUGUCCAACUGUUAUAGCAGAUCUGAGCCUCAUACUUUUUUUUAUUCCGCUUAAUUUCUUGAAAGAAAUAUGUGAUUGCUCACUUUUUUGUACCCUAGGGAUAAUUUGGUUUUCACCUUUGAUUUUCCUUGUUUUGCUCUCUGCCUAUUCUUGGCUCGGAUUCUAUGAUGUAAAGGCGCUUUGCUUGUGACCAAAAAACUACUUAAAAAACAAGAUGGUUAGCAUCUGAUAUUAAUCUUCACCCAAAAAUACGAACCCUCAAAGAUUUCAUUUUGCUAUUUUUUUCUAUUUACUGCUUAUUAGCAAAUUUUUAACUGUUUUGUUCUUCAGUUUCAAGUUACAUUUCUUAUUUUAACUGAGAUAUUUCCUGUUUACCUUCAAAAGGUAUUUUUCUUCUUUUGUUUCUUUAUUGCCUUGGUUGUCUGUACUUUGUAGUAGACGGCAUUCAAUUGCACCAACUGGGCUUAGAGAUAAUUUCAAAAAUAUCCCCUUAAGUUUCUGACAAUUGCACCCCUGACCUUUGUAGGGAUAAUUUUCAGUAGGCAUUCAUUAAAAAGGGAAAAAAAAAAAAAAGGAAGCCAACUGAAAAAUAAGCAAAAAAAAAGAUAAUCAAGAGCUGAGCGAAGACCAAGCCAAGCACUUUCAUGUUCUUGGCCGUGAAAGUUUAGUUAAGCUAUGUUGUUAUAUAUCUUUUGUUUCUUCACCGUAUAUAGUGUGAUUAGACUUGGUUAAUUAAUUCUCUCAACAAUGGUUACUGUAUUAUUAAUGAAAUCAAAUCCAAUGCCUAAAUCCAAAAAAUGAAAUUUUAUUUUAAACCUCUUCCUAUUCUAUGCCAAACGAAAGAGGUGAAUUCAAGGGAUCAAUGGAAGAGUCGGAGGACUGAACAGUCAACUGGUGAAAUUUUCAGGCAAUUUGGACAAGAAUCUGGGCCAUGCACUAUUGUGUCAAAGAUGCGACAACUAGUGAAAAGAAGGCCAGAAAUGGUAACGAGGGGCCAUGGACUAUUAUGUCAAAGACGCGAAAACUAGUGAAAAGAAGGCCAGAAAUGGUAACUAGGAAACAAUACUAAGGACUAACAUAAAAGUUGUAUAAAACAAAAAAUGGGCGAAAGAACUUGUCCUCAGACUCAGAGCAAAGAAAUGAGGCUGUAGAGAGAGAUGGGAUUUUCUUAAGGGUGGUUGCCGCUCUCCUGAGCCAGUGAUUUUCUUCUGUUUUUUGCCCCCAAGUCUCCACAAAGCCAACAACCCUUCAGCAGCAGAAACUGAAGAUGCUUUCUAGUCAUGGAUCCAUGGACGAAUUGAAGUGCCAGGUCUGUUUCUGGUUCCUCAUCAUCAAUCCACAAAUUUCAUGCUCUUCCAAACACUCCCAAAAAAAAAAAAAAGAAAAAGAAAAGAAAGAAAGAUCACGGAGGACUGAAUCUGAGGCCAUGAUGAUAAUUUCUCUGAGCAAAUGAAAUUUUGGCACUGAGACAAAGUGGCCCGUAUCUUGGUUGGGCAAGCCGGAUGGCAGAAGAAGGAGAAUCUGAUUUGGGUUCUCUCCGACAUGCAACCGGUUUUUGCAGCCAUGGCGGUUUACUUCCUCAUUGCCUUACUGAUAUGACGGAUCUGAGCCUCAACUAAGUUCGAUUCUUUUUUUUUUUUUUUUGUUGAGAAUCCAUAUUCAACAAGCUCGCUUCUCACCUCAGUCCUCAUUAGAGUUUUCUUUCUUUUCCUUUCUAUCCUAAACUCGCAAACUAGCCUUGGUCUCUACAUGCUUUAUCAGCUUUUUCAGAUCGAGAGGCGUCGGUAGAAGGAGGACCCCUAGAAUGAGGCAGUGUAAUUGUGGGGGAGGUAGGGAGUUUUGUGGAGGGUUGUUGCCCCUCUCUGCAAUUACGCCGCCGGUGAUUUCAUCGCUACCCACCAAACAACCCUUUAUGCUGCAUCCCAAAGAGCGCAAUCAUUCUACUGCUGUUUCCAUUUCCAGCUUCUUAAGCACUCAAAACCCCCAAAAUCAAAGGCUGUGAUGAUUUAAUCCUGCGUCAAAUGCAAGUCAGAUUUUUGAGCUAAGCCCGUAUGUUGGCUGGGCAAGUAUCACAAGUACUACUACUGAUUUUUGCAGCCAUGGCGGGCUUGAGCCAUUUUCUGUCUGAUUAAAGGCAAAUCUGAGCCUCCUUUUUCUUUUUUCUUUACUUUGCUGAUUUUAUUUUUCCCUCAUUUGCUCUUUUCUUGUACAGUUUCCUCGUUAUGGUAUUAUGUGUCAAAAUUCUGUUUUCAUUUCCGAAGCUUUAUGUCAGCUAGAUAUACUACUAAUUUUCUAGUCAUGUUAUGAGAUCCGGAUGCCAAAAAAAAAUUAAUGACAACUAAAUUAUAUACUCCCUCCUCCCACUUUAAUAGUCCUGAUUCUUUUUUGACACAGUUUAAGAAAAAGUAGUUAACUUUGUUGGAAAAGUAAAUUUAGAUUGCUAUUUUCCUAAAAUAUCUUCACAUUAAAUAGAGUAUAAUUUUAUGGGAACUUAAAUUGAUGGUAAAAAAAAAGUCAACUCUCGUUAAAUGUAGUAGGUUUAUUGUAACAACAACUUACAUUAAAUAAGGGUAUUUUAGAAAAAUUAAAAUGCAACUACAUUCUUUAAUUGGAAAAUUGACUGUAAUUUGGGACAGAUGAAAAAGGAAAACAGGACUAUUAAAAUGGGACGGAAGAGGGAGUACAUUUAUUUCUACUAGAUAAGAAAAAAGAAAAAUAAACAUAUGUUGUCUUUCUCACGUCUAUACGCUGUUAAUAUGGCUUUUAUCGAGUACAAUGCCAAACGAAUUGAGUGUAUUUGGAUUGUUGAAUUAUUUCACAUAUUAUUUUAUUGGGAUAAUUGCAGAAACCUUCCCUGAGAUUUCUGAUAUUUGCACUGACCUCCCCUCUAGGUUUUGAAAUUGCAUUCACCUCCCCUGAACAGUAACAAUUCGUUGCAGAAACCUCCCUGACAGCUUUUGUAGAAGUGAGAUAAGAAAUUUCUUCCAAUUUUGCCCUCUUCUUGCUUGACAAUUAUUAUUUGCUUGACAAUUACUUAACUAAUUAUCUAAUUAGUUAAUUGUUAAACUAAUUAACUAUUAACUAAUUAUUUGAUUAAUUAUUAACUAAUUAUCUAAUUAAUUAAUUAACUAAUUAAUUAAUUUCUAUUUAUCUAAUUAACUAAUUAACUAAAGUUAUUGUCUGUCUGAAACUAACAAACUAUUUGCAUGUUAAACUAAUUAACUAAUUAACUAACUAACUAAUUAACAGACUAUUUGCAUGUUAAACUAUAUGCAGUACGCCUUAGCUAUUUAAAGUAUCGGCUCUUUAUGGGUAUUUUACUUUCAAACAUUUUAUUUAUGAUAAAAACGUCAAUGUUUGUAAGUAAAAUUCAAAAAGUGUUACAAUAAUAUUCUUACAAAACGGGAGGGGUAUAGGGCCAUAAAUUAAAUGUUUGAAAGUAAGAAUAUUGAUAUUUUUUGUAACACUUUUUGAAUUUUACUUACAAACAUUGAUAUUUUUAUCAUAAAUUAAAUGUUUGAAAGUAAAAUACCUAUAAAGAACCGAUACUUUAAAUAGGUAAUGCGUACUGCAUAUAGUUUAACAUGCAAAUAGUUUGUUAAUUAGUUAGCUAAUUAAUUAAUUAAUUAGUUAAGCAGUUAAUUAGUUAAUUAGUUUAACAUGCAAAUAGUUUGUUAGUUUCGAACAGACAAUAGCUUUAGUUAAUUAGAUAAAUACAAAUUAGUAAAUUAGUUAAUUAAUUAAUUAGAUAAUUAGUUAGUUAAUUAGUUAAGCAAUUAAUUAGUUAAUUAGUUUAACAUGCAAAUAGUUUGUUAGUUUCGGAUAGACAACAGCUUUAGUUAAUUAGUUAAUUAGAUAAACAAAAAUUAGUUAAUUAGUUAAUUAGAUAAUUAGUUAGUUAAGUAGUUAAUUAAUUAAUUAGAUAAUUAGUUAGUUAAUUAGUUAAGUAGUUAAUUAGUUUAACAUGCAAAUAGUUUGUUAGUUUCGGACAGACAACAGCUUUAGUUAAUUAGUUAAUUAGUUAAGCAGUUAAUUAGUUAAUUAGUUUAACAUGCAAAUAGUUUGUUAGUUUCGGAUAGACAACAAAUUUAGUUAAUUAGAUAAUUAGAUAAACAAAAAUUAGUUAAUUAAUUAAUUGGAUAAUUAGUUAGUUAAUUAGUUAAGCAAUUAAUUUGUUAAUUAGUUUAACAUGCUAAGUUUGUUAGUUUAGGAUAGACAACAGCUUUAGUUAAUUAGUUAAUUAGCUAAGCAGUUAAUUAGUUAAUUAGUUUAACAUGCAAAUAGUUUGUUAGUUUCGGAUAGAUAACAACUUUAGUUAAUUAGAUAAUUAGUUAAUUAGAUAAACAAAAAUUAGUUAAUUAGAUAAUUAGGUAGUUAAUUAGUUAAGCAGCUAAUUAGUUAAUUAGUUUAACAUGCAAAUAGUUUAUUAGUUUCGGACAGACAACAGCUUUAGUUAAUUUGAUAAAUAGAGAUUAGUUAAUUAGAUAAACAGAAAUUAGUUAAUUAGUUAAUUAAUUAAUUAGGUAAUUAGUUAAUUAGUUAAUAGUUAAUUAGAUAAUUAGUUAAUAGUUAAUUUGUUUAAUUAUGUAGAAAUAGUUUGAUUAGUUUAUGUAGAAAUAGUUUGAUUAGUUAAUAACUUUUAACAAUUAGAUAAUUAGUUAAUAGUUAAUUAGAUAAUUAGUUAUUAAUUAAUUAGAUUAUUAGUUAUUUAAUUAAUUAGUUAAACUAUGUAGAAAUAGUUAAUUUAGUGUAAUUUUUAUUAACAAAUGUUUUGUUGGGUUUGAUAGAAGUACUCAUCACAUUCAUUUGGUAAAAUUAAAUCAUGUCAGGGGUACUUUAGUAAAUUGAUCCAUUUUUGCUUAUUAAAUUGCCUCCAACUUUUGAUAGGGGAGGUCAGUGCUAUUUUUAAAUUGAUAGGGGAGGUCAAUGCUAUUACUAUAAAAGUCAGGGGAGGUUUCUGCAAUUAUCCCUAUUUUAUUUGCAUUGUAAAUAUAUUUUUUAAUUUAUUUUUUUAAUAUUUUUAAUUAUUCUUUUAUUUCAUAUACAUCACAUUAGAAAAAAUAUUAUAAUAAUUAUUUUAAAUAAUAAUCUAUCCAAAUACACUUGUAAUUUGCCAAAAAGAAAAAAUAGAAAAAUAAAAAAUCACUGCCUACCACCAAAAGGCCUUGCAACAAAAAACACAAAAACAUCCAAAAUGUUCCUCGACGUUUCACUUCUUACACGCAAUUAAGAGAAUGUUGCUCAAGACAAUGAAGAACAGCGUUUAAACAUAAUGAAAGUUCAAUUUUUUACUUACUAAUCUGUUUUGAUUUGCUCAACAGUGUAUUCCUGUUUCUGUAAGUUACAAGAAAAAAAAAAUUAACGCCAAAAUUCAUGCGGAUCUCCAUGGAAGUGGAAAACACUAGAAUCAGCCCAUAAACCUUUAAAUGGACGGAUUAGCAACUUAAAUAGUGUUGGAUCUUUCUUCUUAUUUUAAGUAAGGCCAAAAUUAUAAUAAAGAACAAGAGGAGCAAUAGUUUGAUUCAUUUAAGAGAACUUAGGUUCUGUUUGAUAAUUCAAUUUAAUAUUUUAUUUUAAUGACUUCGGAUUUUAAUAUGUUCAAAGUCGUUUGAUAAUUAAAAAUUGAAUAUCUGAAUUAAUUAAGUGACACUGAAUUUUCUAAGCAAAAUUUGCUUCAAAAAAUAAGUGAUAAUAAUUUUUUAAAAAAAAAUAAGUGAUAACAAUUUAUUAUUUAAUGCGAUAUAUAUUCAAAUGUAUCGGAUUUAAUAUUUAACAAUUUAAUAAUUUAAUAGAUUCAGAUUUCAAAUUUCAGACUUCAGUUUUAUUAAAGGAAUCCUUAAUCUCGAAAUAACCAACGAGGUCAAAUCAUUUUACUUGGUUCAGAACCUCUCAAUGAGAAAAAGAAUAAAAUUUUUUCUCUCAUAACUCAAUUAACCUGUUCUUUUGUUUCCUCCUCAAGGACCUCAUCCCCCAAAUAGCAUCUUACAUACCAAAAAAUCUAAAAGCUCACACAUCACUACUUUAGGCUUUCAUUUGGCAGAUACUUGGGCUUCAUUUGCUGGGCUAAAAUGGUAUAAUUUGUUUAGGGCUUCAUCGGUGAAACGAGCAAAGGCCCACGAAAGGCCUGAAACUAGUGCUAUAAAAGAAACAACCAUACCGGAUCUCAAAAAAAAAAAAAAAGCAAAAAUCUCAUUAGUUUAAGACUGAGGCGGAGAGCAAUCUCGCCGGAAGAGAGGUAAAUGGAGUUCGUGAGGGUGGUUGCCCCUCUCUUUCCCGCGUAUCUCCGCCGAUGAUCUCAAAAAAAGCAAUGAAGCUCCUAUUUUCACAACCGCCCUUCGGAAAAUGCAGGCUGCAAAAUGGUCCUUGAACAUUUUUAGCUAUUGUUUACGUCUCUCUCUCUCUCUCUCUCAGUAGUUCGAUACGGACGAGGCUGUGAUGAAUAGGUUUGUGGACUUGGAAAGAAGUCUCAGACUCUGAAAAUAGCUAAUACCAUAACUUGGCAGGGCACAGCUCAGAUGGUCAAAUUUUGUUGAGUUUCUGGCAAAAAAAAAAUGGCAACUGUUGCUUUGCAGCCAUGGUCUAUUGGUGGUUUUAGCAAUUUUUACCAAUUUGUCUGAUCAAAGGCGAAUCUGAGCCUCCAUUUUUAGGGUUUUCAUUGAGGUCGAGACUAUUUAUUUUUAAUUUUCUUUUCUUUCCUUUUUAAGUUUUCAUGAUGACUGAAUUACCGUCUGUGUCCUCCAAGACAAAGGGUUGGAAAGGACAUAACAGGACGGACUCUGUAGCCCGCGGAGACACUACUAUAAAGUUGGCAUUGAAGCAGAGAGAGCAGACCCUAGAUUCAGCAUCUCAUUAUUAGUUUAAGAAUGAGGCUAAACUCAGAGAGGCAUGGAGUUUGUCAAGGGUGGUUACCCCUCUCUGUAAAUCAGCCAAUGAUUUCAACUAAAAAUGAAGGAAAAAAAAACCACCCUUCAAAUCCAAACAUACACACAUACAAACAGUGGAUACACAAAUAUAUGUAUAUAUGUAUAUAUAGAUGGAUGGAUAGAGAGAGACUGGUGGGAUCAUGGUUUCAUUCCCUUUCCUCCUCUUUCCCAACUGCUUAUCUGAGGCUGUGAUGAUUUUUUUUUUUUGUUUGUUAUCAAUACGAAACUAAAUAGAAAUCAAGAUUUUGAGCUUUUCUUGGCUUGGUGAACUCUGGAGGGUCUGUGAGGGAUAUGCAGAGGGCUCAAAAGGAAAAUUGGGCACUUUUGGUUCAUUUUUCCUUUUGGGUUCUUUGUCUGAUUUCUCUCAUGCGGCAACUGUUGUUUGCAGCCAUAGCGGGUUUAGCCUGUCUUGAUGUCAGACUCCAAUCUGAGCCUCCUUUUUUCACUCAGCUUUAAUAAUGAACCCACAACCUCAUAGAAUUUUUCUUAUUCUUUUCGUUCAAUUUGCAGCUAUAUUCUGGAUCUGUAGCUGGGAAUCUUCCUUUUGAAACAGAAGCAAGCAACAUAGCUUUUUUCCUUUUAUCCCCAUUUUCUGUCUUUUGGUUAGAAAAUCUGUUGACGGAAUAUAUGUUCUUUUACGAUUUAGUUUACAAUAUACUUUGUGGCUUUUGAUUGCAAUUUGUGUAUUCUUAAGGAUUAAAGUUUUGCCGGAUGGAAAUCGUUGGCAUCGAGGAUUGCCAAAAAUAUGAUGUGAAAAGAAAUUUAAUACUACUGGAAGGUAUUAAUUUUCUGUAGUUACUUGUCAGUUCUGCAAAACUGCAUUCUUUAGACUGAUAUUUUGUAAUUAAUUGCUGGCUAACUUGAGCGUCGCAAGAAGAUUGUAGCAGAGUCUGAGGAUAAAAAUUACUCCUUGAAUUAGAAUAUGCUUUUAAUCAAGAUAUCUAACUUGCCUUUGAUUUCCAGGUUACCAGCUUAAACGCUCGAAAAUUUCUUUUUUGUUUUUUUGGGUAAGAAAAAUUUCUGGUUAAGUUAAUUACCGGUAACAAAUUACUCGAAUCUUCAUUAUUAGCUUCUACAGUUGAGCACCAAUAUAGUAACAAAUAAGUCAGAAUCUGCAACUUAUUCUUGUCAGUGGAAUCAAUGAUCAUUAGCACGAAAAAUUCCUACUAAAACGUUUAGCAAACAGUACUAAUACAUCCACCUAAAAAAAAACCUGCAAUAUUUCCCGGUGACAGGGUGAACACUGGUGUUUGUAAAUGUGGAUAUGCCUAUUAAUAAACUUUGCUAUUAUAGCUGAGAAUUGUAAGUACUGCAACCAUUGCUGCAACCAUGAGACCUGUGUUGCUAGCAGUUUUCGUGCUUCUUGAUUUUUUGGGUGCUGGAGCAGGAAGAGAGUUAGAGCCAGAUUCAGAAGGGGAUGCGGGUGGAGGAGCUGAAAUCUUGGCUACAGGAGGCAGUGCAGGAUCAUCGACAUCUGCAUUUUGAAGGAGAGGUACAGCGGGUGCAGCCUCUGGAGGUUUUGCUGUAACCAGAUUGUUAAACAUGUCACCUGGAUUGAUGGGUAGUAUUGUAUAUGGAAGAUUGGCAUUUGGAUUGGAACAUGGGGACCCUGCAGCAGCAAAGGACAGCAAGUUACCGUUUGUAAGCUAGGCAUGUAUUGUGUUGAAGAAAAUAAUAACAUGUGUCUUCUUUAUGCUCAUCUAGAGCUCUUCUGUAGUGCAGCAAUCACGUAUUUGUCAUAGAGUGGUCAUUGUUUUUUUUUUUUUUCGUUGUCUGGCUAGUGGUAAUGUCUCUAUUUCUAACAAUUCUCUAUGAAAAUUCAACAAACAUUUUUUCCCCUCAAAACAGUUCUUCUGGUUGCUCAUUUAAUUUCAUUGUAGAGAUCAGAGGAAAUUUCUCUUCCAUACUUCAGUAAUAGAUGUAUCAUGAUAGAGAUGAUUUCCAGGUUAGGCCAAAAAAUAGAAGAAAAGAAACCAUAUGGUGGCCUUGAUAAAUUCCUAAAAAUGCUUAAGUGGUAGUAAAACUUGCUUAUGUAAAUUGAUAAAUAAAAAUGCUUACUCAUGUAUGCAUUUGCUGUGGCAGGGUAGUCAGUUACGAUUCCAUCCACUCCUUUCUGAGUAAGAGUGGCGAGUUCGACAUAAGGAUCAGCGUAGUAAUCAAAUAAAAAGUUUUGGAACUCAUUUCUCAGAAUUCCCACAUACACCGAGAUGUUGGCAGCAUGCAUGACUUCAACAAGGUUGCUGUAAUUCAAGGACAUGAAGACGGGGUUUGGAUAGUCCAGAACAAUAGAAUUUCUGAACACUUUAACAGCAUCAGCAUAUUUUUUGACUUCCUGUGCUGUUUCUUGGGUUGAACCACCUAUAUCUUUGUCGAUGGCCAAGACUCUUUGGUAAGUCUUGAUGUCCUGGAACUUCGAAAGCACUGAACUGUCAUCUGACUGAAUCAAAACUUUCUGAGUAGAUUGCUUAUCCAUUGUGGCGUUGCUCAAGGCAGUGGUGACAGCACCAACAAUGUCAAGACCCUUGUUUGAUGCUAGAUAGGCAGCAUUCUGAUUAAAAGAUCAAGUGUUAAUUAACUUGUGCACGGUUGAAGAGUAUAGUAUAAUCAUGAUGUUACAUGAGACGUGGGAUAUGUAAAACGUUUUACAAGGAACCUGGAAAUUAAAAUAUAUCUUGACAAAUGGAGUCCAUGAAAGAGUUUGAAGUGAAGUGAAUCUUACUUCAAUGUUAAUUAGAACUCCUGUAACUGCCCUAUUCUUAGCAAGAUCCAAGAAUUCAUUAAGAGUAACGAACUUUCCUGCAUUCUUGUUUGCAGGGUUUCGAGCAAGAGGGCCAUCAAAAACGCUUGCAAGUUGAGCUGAAAAGGGAGAAAAGCAUCAUAUGUCAAAAGCUUGAAAAGGUGUCAUAACCAUUUUACUAUUAAAUAAAGCGUUUUGCUUACGUUUUAGUGAUUGAAUUUCAGUCCAAGUGAGAUCAAAGGAGAAUAUUCCAUUCUUAUCUUGAAUUUCAGGUAUCCUGGUAGAUCGGUCCAUGAAAAGAGAUGCUGCAGUGGUUGUCCCUAUAAGAUCAGCAGAAGGCAAGCAGAAGGCGGUUCCAUCCUUGGACAGUUGAACAGAACAAUCGAUUAUCUCGGUUCCAUCAUCUAUGGCUUUCUGGUAUGCAAGAUCAGUCGACCCAGGGUAAUCUCCACUUGCUCCGUCGUGAGAUAUUAUCAAUGCUUUAAUGCAAGAAGACAACGAGUUAUUCCAUGCAGCAAUAGAUUGCAUAAUUUUGUUUUCCAAGACUAUGAAACGAUACAAAGUGUAACACUUCUUACCUUUUACAAUUUUGGGAGCAUUCUUGUUCUGGGCUAGGCAUGCUGCAACAUGAGCAGUUCUCAGGUCAGAACUAGAUCAGGUAAAACCAAGGAAGAAAGCUAAUGUAAAAUUUUGAGACAGUUUCAGUCAGUUUGACUUUUUGAUAGGUUUUGCAGUACUCUUCCUUUUGACUCAUUGAGAAAUAUAUUAUAGGAAUGGAGCAGAGAAAAAGCAUAAAUCUCACCAAUGGACUCUGAUGCGGUGGCAGGGAAAUCCGUAAUUACCCCGUCAACCGAAAACUGAGAAUUGUCUAUAAACUGCAGAUACUCCUUGGUUGGAUCAUAGCUAUAAUUAUAACUUAAGUAGUUAUCAUUUGCAAAGCCAGAAGCAUACACUUCAAGACCUGCUUUGUGGAAAUCAGAUACAGAACUCGUAGCAGGCAGCAAUAGCCUUCCACUAUCUACGGGCCAUAUGCUAUCUUUUGGAAGAAUAAUCCCGGAUGCAAAUGUCUUGAUCAUAUUUAUGUCUGACAGCAGUGUAACAUAUGUUUUUUUCGUUGUAGGUUCAACUUCGUUUAUGCCCGGAAUCUUAAAAAUGAGCUUUGCUGGGUUCACCUUUCCUACUAAGCCCUUCAAGAAUCCAAUCUCUGGUGAUGAAAUGUAUGCAGGAUUCAAGUCUCUCAUGGUAUCUAUAAUAAAUGCUGAUGCGCUGAGUUUCAGUCCGUCGUAGAAACUAGGAUACUGCAGCACAAAAUUGCAACAACAUCAAAUCCAAAUUGUGAAAAACAAAGAAAUCCCAAAAAUUUAUGGACGACUCCUCUAAAAUUCGUGAUUGAUUCUUGGUGUAUUUUGAAUUCUGCUUGUGUUAACUUUACCAUUAAUUAGUGUCAGUUAAAUGAAAAUAAAAGAGCAAGGAAAGGACCUCGACGUUCAUCCAUAGCACUGGAGGAGGACCUUGCAUGCCCACAACAUCAUAGGGUGUCAACAGAGGGUAUGAACCAUCCAUACCAGGGGAUCUUGAGUAAAUGCUUUGCACCACUGCCAGAGAAAGUAUGUGAGUUAGAUCAAUUCAAUGGCAAUUCACAAUCUUUGUGUCUAUCUGGUAGCAACUUAAUUGUUAAGCAGAAGAGCAUUACUAACUCAAGAAAUUACUUCUUUGUGCAGAUUAAACAAUACGAAAUGCAGCUUUCUAAGAGAGAACAGAAGGAGAAUGAAGAAGGAUAGCAAAAGAAACUAUGCAGUAGCAUGGAAUUCAUUAUUUUCUACUGUUUGAAAGGGCACUAGCAUUGCUUCCUAAUCUUCUAAUGCGUUUGAGUUCAACCCUUCUUGUAACUUUCUCUGUUCUUAAUUGUAACCAGAUGAUAGUACUCUACAAACUGAGAAAGGAAACUGAAGCUCUGUAUAACCGUCUGACAACUUACAGAAAACGUUUUUGAGUAGAUCAUCUGCCAAAAAAUCCACCCCAUAGAAUCCUUCCACAUUCUUUCCGUUUAUGUUGUAGGUUCUUGGUUUCAAGUCUGGAAAAGCUGUAGCAAUAGUUGUUGCAUUUUGAAGGUUCAGACUAGACUGGCAAAAGCCCUGUGCAUCCUUUGUAAGUUGGAGAUCACAGAGUAAGAUCGUGCUAGCCAAGCUCGUCUGCUGUGCCGUAGAAUAAGCGGGUAAACUGGACUCUGGUGCAAUUCCAGAGAAUCCACCCCUGGCUACUACCACAGGCUCACCUCCUGCAAAGAGUCAAAUCAGAAAAGGGCAUACAAACUUAUAAUUGGACUAAAGCAUUGAGAUCAUUCGCUUCCUUUAAGCAGGAAAUUGAAUACAACUCAAUGUUAUAAUACAUUACCAUUUAGAGUUAGCCACUUUUUUGCAGGAGGGGGAACAACAGCAGGGUGGCGUCUUCCCCUGCCUCUGGCAGCCACUAGAGUGGUUUGGAUCAACAAGAAAGACAAUAACAGUUGCCUGAUCAUUUUCUUCCAAUCCUGUCAGCCUGGUUGAUUUCAUAAAUGGCAAACUAUCAGAUUUUCGCACGGGCAUGCAGAACAGACACAGAAACACGUACAAGCACAGAUUUAUGUACCAGCAAAAACUUUGGAAAACAGAAUACUGGCUUUCAAAGAUGAAUUUACCAGAAGUUGUGAAACCAAAUUGCCUUCAGAUUUGAUCCUGCUUUAGCCUUUUUCCUUAUUUAACUAUGUUCUGAUUUUCUCCCGGUUCAGAUAAUGGCCGACUCUGUUGCAAUUAUUUUUUAAAUGUCGAAUGCGUGUUGCCAAAACAUUUCAUGGAUGUUUCCUUUUGAUUUAGAAGAUAACAGUAUUAAUUUCUGUCUCUCCAGAACAAUAAAGAUCAAGAAAAUUUAAACGCCCCCUUUCUUCUACUUAUGGUUUUGGAGUUGCAUUAAAUAUUUGCAUAACGUAAGAUGGCUAAAUCAAGAUAAACAGUGUCCACAAAACAGGGAUUUCGAGGACAACAGUAAAUUCACAUCGCAUUGGUCCUAUGUUCAAGUAAUAUUAACAUUCGACAAAAACGAUGAACGUGACAAAUAAAUCAAAGAACAUUUCUAUUAUUAAUGUCAAAGAUCAAAGAGAAAACAACAUGCAACAAAAAGGAAGGAAAGAAAAAGAAAGAUUGUGCGAAAAUUUACUUGAAUUCUGAGCUUCAGAUGGAAGAAACAAUCAUUUCCCGAAGGAGAAAAAAAUGAUACCGAAACUCCCAAAGGGAAGGAAUGGGGAAAAGGGGAGCUUCAGAAAUUUGAGAGAUGAAAACUAGGCACAUAUUUAAGGUCACUAGCUCCCACACAUUUGUCGCGUUAAUUUCUGGUCUUUGAAUCCAUUCAAACGUCAAAAAAAAAAAAAGAAAAAAAGCCCUGGUUUUGCAAUAUUUUCCCCUUUAUUACUGCCACGGUCCUGUGUUUUGUCCUCCUAAAUUCGAGGAAAGUCUGGCUGGUUUCCAACACCUUCAUAUACGGCAACAACUGACAACAGACAAAUUCAUAACCAUUGAAACAGUUGUAAGCAAAUUAAUGUGGUAGUAAUAUUUAUGGUAGAGUACAUUGCUACAAUGAAUGAUACCAGUUUUACGGUUAAAAUUGCUUCUGUCCUGCAUGAUAAGUUUACAUAUAGUUCAUUACUUUUUCAAGUUAUAGACGAAAUCCCACAUGUUCUACACGAUUAGAUAUCUGCCCAGAGGUUUCAAAUCAUUUCUACACAUUACGCGAUGAAACUAUUUAAUUUUGAGAUCAUUUUAUGAGUGUACUCAAACUUUGAACUUUGUCAUGAUCUGGAGUUGGGGAAAUUACCAAGUUCUUAUUGUGUGGUAUUCAGGGAAAGUCGAAUGGAUAUUACGUAUAAGAAGAGCAGAGGUAUUAGCAUAUGCUGAAUUCUAUACAUAGGGGGGUUGGUCAAUUUUGUUUACUUUCACUGUUGCUAAUAAACGUCUCAUGUAUUAAUUGUUUUGAUGAGUGAUGCUAAUUUUUGUAGGUCAAAGGAAACAAAGCAGGCAAGCUAAAAGUGCACUAGGCGUGAAUGCAUUUUUGGACAACAUUUAGAGUAAGUUUAAUUUACAUAAGAAGUGAUAACCUACAAUAGCAAAUAAAUUUUUUUAAAAAAACCUAUAUUUGCAAAUAAGAAAGGAGUUCAAUUUAUGGAAGUUGCAUCAUCCUUAUAUACGUACACACACAUAUAAAUGUAAAUUAAUAAUGUGACCAUCUUUCCUAAUUAAAAAUGCACCAAUUUUCUUCUCUGAAAUCCUUUCACUGCUAGGUGGAAGCAAAAAAGCAUCUAACAAGAAAGCCAUAAACGGAUAUAAGUUUCCAUCUCCUAAAACCUGUAAUAUUUAGAAUAGUUUGCAGAGAUAUCGAUGACAAACAAUUGAUAGAAUCUAAACUAUUUACAAUCUGCAAGUAAUUAUUAGAACCUUAAGUGCUUCGAGGCUCAAAUUACAUCUUGCAAUGCUCAAUAAGGAGUAUGUUUUUGCUGCAAAAUUAUUUACUUCUUCCUAACUUAAAUUUGGCAAACUCUUGAAGUCUACCUUAAGUCGCAUGACAAAUAUGAUGUUUGAUUUGCUUGCACUUAAAUGUGAUUGGCUUCUUACACGCAAUUGUACCUACAAGAAAGUUCACUCGACUAUCUAUACACACCAAAUAAUGAUUAGCUGUGUUUAGUAGGUAUCUAAAAUGUAAAAUUUCAUGGGAAACUGGCAACUAGCAUAUAAAGAUCAUCAACAAUCUCAGAAUAUAACCGUGCUACUUUGCAUAUAUUCGUGAAGCUAUAUACUAAAUUAAUAAAACUUUGACAAUUCUGAGCAUAAUCUUGGUUAAGUUCUUGUUAUACCUCUAGUUUCUUGACUCUGUAAUUUCUCCAACAGAGAUAGUUGUGUGGCAAAGAGCCCUUUUUUACAGACCCUUCUUUAUUAUUAUCCUUCUUUCUCCUCUUACUUCUUGUCCGAAUGUUCUAGACUACAAGUAACAGUCGCUGUGGUAUGAUUGUCAAUGGAGAUUCUUUACAAUUCAUCGAAUAAUGAUAAACAAACUACUCUUUAUUGAUUUUACUUGCAUUAUAUAUUCUUUUUUUUUUGGAGACGUAGAUAGACCCCAAGAAAAAUAUUGAAACCAAUUAAUAGUUUCCUUGGUGGAUUAUGGCCAAAAGGUUAACAGCAAGAUUGAAUUGCCCAACCAAGGAUAUGUAUCUGUUUAUGUAUAUUUAUAUACACAUACAUACACACUGUUGUUCCGCUAGAAUAAAAAGAGCUAAUACUACAUAGGAAUAAUAAAACAAUAAUAAUAAUAAAGAUAUAAGAGUGCACAAAUGCGGUGGUUUGAAGAACAGAUAUCUCGUUUUUGUUUUAAAAUGAUUCAAUCGUCCGCCGAAAAAUAAAUUACGGUGUAGCAAGAUGUCCAACUUAUCAUCUUAGGAUACAACAGUACAGUCACAUUUGUUGUUAUUCUCUUUAGCCUAUAUAACUAAGAGAGUAUAGCUCUACUAAUACCGAAUCUUCUUGCUAAAAUACGAGAUAGGAAUAUAUAGAAAAUAUGUUAUUUUUCUCUUGUUACUUAUAGCUGUCAGACUUCAGUAGCAUUGGUAGCCCAUAAGUAUUUUCUCUCUCGUAGUCCACACACAUAUACAAGUGAUAAUAGUUAGAAAAAAAGGUAAGAUUACAUAUGGUUUGGCAAUUUGAUUUCUGCACAACAUUUGCUGAAGAUUUUGCUACAACUUACCAGCAAGGGAGCAACAAACAAUCCAUAAUAAUUGAUGCACUCAAAUUAUAUCUAAGAGAAGGAAUGAAGAGACAAAAGAGGAGGCACUUCUUACAUGUAUAACUAAGACUGGGCAGCUGACAUUCCUUAUCUUGUCUAUAUUCUGCGAGAAAACAAAUGAAAAGCAAAAGAACAAAGGGUGAAUACCAUCAGCAUCAAACUGACUAAAAGACAGAGUAAUGUAAAUUUGGGAAAAGUGGAGAAACAUGAUAACUGCAAGAGGAGAAUACUUACUUUGAAUAUGUCAAACCAAAAUGUCAUCUUUACGUUGUACAAUACUCGAAUUCCUGAAAGGAUAGCACUAUGCAGAACAACCGCUCGCAACCUAUGCUGACGAGAAGCCAAAUGUAGUGUUGGACCACUCCCAACAGAUUGGCCAUAUAAGAUGAUAUCCUCCUGCUUUAUUCCAUAUUCAUUCUUCAAACAAUCGAAUACAGCCUCUAUGUCAUAGUAUGUGUUGAACUCAGAUGGCUGCCCAAGCAAAGGUCAACUAUUAGGAAUAAAAUACAUAGUUUCUGUACGGCAGGAUUCAAUACAAACAGUCUCAUGUUUUCUCACCUUACCAGAGGAAGCUCCAUAUCCUGAAUAAUCAUAGCUGCCAUAAUAGAAAGAAAUGAAAAUUCAGUAACUUGAGGAAGAGGACUAGUAUAAAACUUUCAUCUUAGUAAAAGGAAAUGAUGCUAGAUUGAAAAUCUAUAGGAUAGUUCCAAAAAAAAAAAAAAAAAAGAUACAAGAUAUUCACAAAAAUUUAACUUAGCUAUGUUUAACCGAGCAUCAGACCAAAAUAACUUUCAAAAAGCUUUUGGCAGUAAAUGGAGGAAAACAAGUAGAAUUUCAAUUGCUAAAGCCAAAAAAAAAAAAAUCCACAACCUCAAUGAACUGCGGAAAUAGACAAAUAAAACUGUCAUACUAAAUGCAGAAACAGCAGUGCAAAUAAUGUCUUGAAACUAAAUUCUUGCAAGUAUAUAAGCUAGGCUUGUCUGAUGAUUAUAAUCACAACACCUCUAUAUAUAAAACUCACAGGCCCCUAAUUGAAAAAUUUAACCCAAAAUAGCAAAAUAUAGCAACUACUUGUAGAAGUUCAGUUCAGCAGAAAUCAAGGUAGAAAAAUGAAAUGUCCCAAUGUAAUUUCCCCAGUAAAAUGAACACGUUCGAGAGGACCUGUGUACAUGUAUCAGGAAGAAAGUUUACACAACCAAGAAAAUGCAUCAAAAUCAAAACUUUAUAGCACCCAAAGCUGACAUCAGAAAAGAAAGGAAUCAUACCCACAAAACAAUUACUCUAAACUAACUCAUAGACAAGAAGGCAUGUUGGAUAAGGCAAAUACAAUGAUCAAGAGGAAAAACGGACCCCAUGAUAUUAACACGAAGGUGAGCUCUGAGCUCAAUGAAAAGCUCUUGCAUUUGGCCCAAAUCAGCAGCAUUACCAUGGGAAUACAAAAGCGUAAACUCCCAAAAGGAUGUUUCCAGAAGGUAGCCACAAUUUUAUUACCAACUUUUGUUUCCAAUACGUGAACAUCUACAUUCUUAUCAGCUGUUAAUCCGCUGCAAAUAUACUUGCCAUCUCAUCUUUGUAAACAUCAUAUGUUGGAGGUCUGGAGGGAAAAAUGCAAACUUUGCAGCCACGUUUGAUGUUACAUUGCCCAUUAAAACAACCCUUUAAAGAAAAAUCACCUUCAAAAACAGCCAGUAUUGCUUCAGGCCAUGAAAAUGAGUCAAUAAUGAAGACAAUCCCUGACUUUUCUUGUUAUUCUGCCUGGACAAUUGUCAUUCUCUUUUCUCUAUUUUUUAUUUGUUCCUUUUGUUCUUGGUGGUUUGUUGGUAGGAAAACGAAGAAAGAUCCGAUCUAAGCGGGAUGAGCUAAAAAAAAAGGACCAAAGCCCCAGAAGAAUUAAAGCAAGUAUAAAAUCAACUGUUGCAUGUUGGUUGGGAUGAACUGUCUACACCAACUGCUUUUUAUUUUCUUUUGGCUGUUUUGGGAAGAAUGGGCAGCCAUUAUCAAGCAGAAAAAGUAGAAAAGUCAAGUUUGGCCUUAAUUAUUGUCGUAGUUGAUUAGGAGUUAGGACCAUACAGAAAAGGUGACAGUAUAUAUUAACUUUUGGCACUGAUUGGUAGCUACACUUGAUUAAUUGGGCUGUGGGAAUGCCAAGCUUAUCCACUAGUCUAGUAGUAUGUGUUUGUCAUAGACCAAAAAUCUCCAAAUCAAUGAUGAUCUUAUGGGAAAACUUUUCUCAUGUUUGUUUUGAUAUGACAUUAUGCAGCAAUUUUGAUAUUUUAAAAUUAUAAGCAAUUACCAUAUAGGAAUUAACAUGAUAGAGUUUUUUUUUUAUUUCGAUUAAUUAUCCAAUUUAGUACGUUUUUAUAUCAUUUUGUGUUAUCGUUUUCGUCGUACGUUAUAGCUGAAAUUCGUAUCAUUCUAGUUAAUGCAUCACAUGUAACUUUUUUAUUAUAUGUUUAUAUUUUUGGAAAAUUUACCAACAUAAUUUAGGUAAUAAAAGACCAAUCUAACUUAUCCAACUGGAUUGAUUUUCAUGCUUUUGUCAAAAUUGAAUAAAAAAAGAUGCACAUAAACACUUUCUCAAAAAAAAAAAAAAAAUGAAGUCUUCUCAAAAAAUAAAUAACUUUGGUGAUGGAAGCCAUACCAACUUUGUUUGACAGUUUCUUUUAUUCCUUAUACCGUUCUAUAAGUAAUAAAAUUAUGCAAAAUGGCAGAUUAGUAACAAUUUGUACAGCCAAGCAUUUCAGGACCAAAUUUUGAAUACAUGCUUAUGCUAGCCAAUUUUGAACAAGUUUCAACAAGAAACCAUGGAAAUUAGCUAUCCUGUAUGCCUAGUCGUGAACUUGAGAGUGUAUCAAGAAUGAUGGCAGAAUAUAGGACAGAAGUCUCUCAUCAAGGUUUCUCUUUUCCGUUGUUUUCAAAUCUUGUACACUGGAUUUUGGUGCAUAGCCAGCCCCCUAAGAUUUUGUAGACUCAUGAUUGCAGGCAACGGUUAAAGAAUAAUCAUGCUAAUGAUCAAGUUUAUUGACUAUAAGAAGGGCUUGCUUACACAAGCCAGAGUUUCACGUGAUUGUAUUAUGUGCAUUUACAGGUUUAACAGACUAUAAGAAUUUUAAGUGAGAUGGUAUGAACAGUGAUCAAUUUACAGCAAAAUUUUGCCAUAAGAAGGGUAGUUUUGACUCUUCCCAUGAGUAGAAAGAAUCAAAGGUCGGUGGUGCCCCCAUAAUGAUGAUAGCCUUAAUCUAGAACACGGAGAAAUCACAGAUAACAAAACAAAGACAUUGGAGAUGAGAUAAACUAUUACUUCCAAUUGCUAGUAAGAUGGAUCUAAGAAAUCUGUGGGAUGCCAAAUGUGUAAAUAAAGAAAGGCCAAAAAGGUGGUAUUUAGGAGAAUGGCGGACGGCCAAGAUUCGGUCAAAGGCUGCUGUGGAUCUAGACAGGAGAAAGAGGGAAAGAAGGAAGGAAAGUGGAGUGCAGAUUUGGGGUGAAAUAAAUAAGUCUGUCUGUCAGGCAGACAAUGUCAGAAUCAGACAUUCCCUCAUUGUUUUUUUUUUUUUUUUUUGCAGAUUACAAAAGGUUGACGCUUCAUCAGAAUGCUCUUCUUUAAGAUUCAUCAAGACAGCAUUUUGCGUUUUCAUCAUUUUAAUGAACUAGCAGUCCAAAACCAACUACCUAAGUAGGAAUUAACAGUUUACAUUGUUUUAACCCACUUCUUUAGGAACAUUUUUUUAACCAAUAUUUGGAGCUUAAUCGCAAACUUUCGUGUGAUAUUGGAAGAAAAAUAAUAGAUUAAUUGCAAAUAUUAAUUUUUGUAGAAACUAAAGAGUAAGAUUGUAAUCGAGUCGGGUCGAACUCGAGUAUGAUGAUACUCGAGUUCGACUCAACGUGGAGAAAGGAUGCUCGACCUCGAGCGAGUAGUAUUAUUGAAACUCGAGUUUUAUUAGGGACACAAAAGUAACCACGCAAGAAGGCAUCCUCUGCGAAUAAUCUAUGAACAAAAAGAAUAGCAUGGUGGCUAUGACCAAGAGGUCAUGGCAACAGACGUAGACAGCACAAGGCAGCCCAUGUGAUCAAUGUGCAUUAGUAAAAAGAGAUGUAAAACUAGGAAACAACUUUGCUUGGUUGACUAUAUAUUAUGAGGAUAUAGAUACGAACAAGUGAAGCUUUUCUUAGGAUCCAGAGUUAAUCGAAAUGAUUUCUACAAAAAGGACAUAAAUCAAAGGUCAUUCAUGUUUUUUAGAAUUGAAGAAGAGGAAAAAGUCAUACAUACACAAUGAUACCAUCGCAUAUUUUCGCGACGCUUUUUGCUUUCGUAUUGGAGAGAUCAUCCUCUGAUCCAUACUUUGUAUUUUCAAAAGUAAUGAAACAUGCAGGCAAUUCAAGCAAAAUUUGAGUCACUCAAAGAAUGAAUAACAUUGAAAACCGGAUCAUGAUUCAUACUUGGCGAUUUAACAAAUAUAUUUUUUUUAUUCAAAGUUAUCUAACACAGCAUUUCAUUUGGGAGGAUUGGAUUAGAUGGUAAGACGGGAAGAAUAAAAAAAGAAAAAGAAAAAAAGAGCAGCGUUUCACAAGUUCCAAUUCCUGGCUCCUGAAUCUCCCAAUAAGCCACGCAAAUUUCUUGGUAAUCCUCUAAUUUUUAAGGUUGCAAAGCAAAAUGCAAGAAAGUAAAGAAGCAGUUAAUGUUUUAUGAGAAAGAAGUCAUGACACAUUGAUGAUAAUGACUAUUUUUUUCCUUUGAGGAAUUGAUGAUGACAUUCAAUUGCGUGCUCUUCAAAAGAAUUGAAACAUAGAGAAAGAGAAGCAAGGGAACCCAAUCUUUGCUACCAGCUCAGUUCUAGAGUUCGAUCCAACCACGCCACCUCCCGGCUUUCCACAACCUUCAAAAAAAAAAAAAAAUCCCAAAAGAAUCCAACAUUGUUUUAACUGGCUAGAAUUUCUCGUGUACAAAUGUUGCCAGCCCACUAAACCAAAACUUUCAUUAUAUAUGCUUUUUAGUAAGGAUUCACCAGCAACAAGUGAUUUUAGAAGAAAUACGAUAUGUAAACGAUAGACAAAUAUGAAAAUUUUAAAAUUAAGAGUUGAGCCAUCUUUUAAUUUUUUUUUUCUAUGAUCGUGUAUUGCUUAGAGUAGGAUUUGUUUGAUAAACGUCCUAACAUCACCGAGCAACAACGUAAGAGAUCUGCAACCAACGUUCUUUUCCAUACUUCUUUCUUUUGUAAACUUUUUAAGAGAGCCGGGUAUAAACUUUCCACCCAAAGAAAAAGGCAAACCAUUAGAAAGAAAGCUUCGAUUUAAAGGUGGAGAAUGGGUCAACAAAGCCAUUGAAUGCUUGGAAGUUGGUGCAUUUGCAAAGUUUGGUCCUAAAGAGAACUAAAGGCGAAAAAAUGGAGCUCUUAAAAGGGGUUUCAACCAUUUGAUUGAAAAGGAAUUGGGUCAAAACCAACACGUUGUUAACUUCACUUCAUUGCUGACUAUCCUUUAGUUUUGCAUACUUUUGAAGAAAUCUAGGUGAUGGAUCAUCGCUACCAUAUGAAGUACCCCUUUCCUUUUUAUCAAUAAAUAAAUUACUCUAUGCUCACUUGGCAAAAGGGUUCGAAUCUCUUCCACCAGGCUCCAGCCUGCCACUGGGUAAUAUUUUGCAGUUUGAGGGGAAAAGACCAUUAACUCUGAGAGUAGAUUGUAGUAGAGUCCAGAGCAGAAUUUAGUACACUAAAACCUGGCAAUCACAUGAAACCUGUUGGCACACGGAUAAUAACAAAGCUCAUAUCUAACAUUAAAAACCACAUUUAAGGAAAGAAAAUACCCUACAAGUCUAAAAUUGCAUAAAAACUACUGAUGCACCAUGGUGGCCUCUUUCUAAAAACACACGUCACAGAAGGAGCAAAGGAGGCUGGUAGGCAACUUGAUUCAAGUCAAAUGUAUGAACACAGUCACAGCUCAUGUGAAUCUGAAAUUCAAGGAAAAGUACACAAUUUUUAACCAAAGAAAGGGAAUAUGAAAUUACGGACUGACCAUGGUUAUGUCCUUUAUGUACAUGACCACAAGUUUGUCCUCACAGGAAUGUGAUAUUUGUUGUCAUGACAGACCGCAUUACAAUGCCCGCCUGUUACCUGCAGUUGUCCUACGGAACAUUAUGUGUUCUUCUUCUAAGGAUAUAUUUUCUCCCACCACUGAAACCCAAGUUUCCGUAACUUUCUCCACUCGUCCGUCAAGAUCUCUGCUAUAGUGAAGGCCCGCGCUGUGCCUCCUGAUUCUGACGCUGUACCUGGUGUCCAUUAAACGUGGAGCUCCUCUUAUGGCUAUCCUGUUCAUUUUCCCAAUCUUUUUACCCUAGGAACAAUGGCCCCAUUCAAAUAUACAGUGUUAUCCUCUCCAAAACAAUCAUUUUCCGAGACCAGCUCCAUGUGCCAGCUGUUUAUGCAUGUGACCAAAUACCACCAAAGGGAUAGAUAAUUUGGUGGUCUCUUUUAACUGGGAUAUUGCUUCUGCUAAAUCUGUAGAAUAGCAUUUGUCAUCUAGUUAUCAAAUGCCAUUUUAGUGAGAUGAAAAAGGAUUACUCUUACUGCAUAAACUUGUACAUUCCUGUUGUAAUCGUUGGAGCCACGAGCUACAGCAUAUUAGUAAGUACUCCAGUUCACAGGCUGGCUACAUAUCAAACAAGGAAACCUGACAAAAAUUACCUGGAUCACCAUGGUCACCACCUCCAAAGAACCAAUCUCUUCCACAGAUAUCAUUCAUGUUAGACCCAAGGCCUGCAUGAUGUUGACCACUGAAGUUUAUCCUGCAGCUAGCACUUGAAAACAUGGCCAAAUAGCAAAAGUGAUAUACCAGUAGGUCCAUUAUGAGCCAGUAAGAUGAUUGAAUGAUCUUCAGGAGUCCCUAAAGCAGAUUGAUAGAUCCUCUUGGCACUUUCACCCAUGUUGUGAACCGCAUAUCUGAGCACAAAAAUCGCAAUGGGAUAUGAGGUGCAACCUAGACGGCAGUAGAAGGCAUGGAAAAAGCAUUUGUGGCAGCAGAUCAAACUUGCAUAUAAAGAACAUAUUUACCUAGUUCUUGAAUCAAAAUUGAAGACGAAUAGAUGAAUGUGAGAUUACAAUCACUAAAAUCUCAACUUCUUUGUUCAAAACGAUGAACAAUCUCAAAGCUAUGAUAUGAUAAAACUUGUGAGGCCAUAAUACAUACAUAGAAGCAUACAAAAGGCAUAAAGAAAUAAGAGUAAUAAGAUGCAGGGCACCAAAUUCAAGCAAAGAAGAAGGGUUUCCAUUAGCAAUUGCUUGAAAUUAAUAGGUAUUGUGGAAGGAGGUCUUAUAAAGGAAGAACAGAAACUGGACAACAAUAUUUGGAUUCUUCAGAAAGGGAACUUACUUUCUCAAAUUGGGGUUCAUAACAGAACAGGAGCACAUGAGGAAAGAUUGUUCUGUCAUAUUUCCCUUAUUCUUCUUGAAAAGACAUUCUCUAUACAUGAUAUAUAUCACAUACAUAUGCCAUAGGACUACUACAGGACAGCUCUCCAAAUCUCCACUCAAUUGUUUUUGGAGUUAGGGUGACUCAGACUGUGGUAAAAGGAGCUAAAGAUUUUACUUAACUGCCAAGAAGUGUUGUGGUAGAAGGUCAACCCAUUUUCCAUUCCUCCCAUGUCUCUAUUAGAAGAACCAUAAAAGCCCUUAACCCAAUUCUUUAUUGUUCGAUUUGCGUAUGCCGUUAAUGGAUUGCACCUAAGGUUCCAUAUGCAAUUUCGAUGCCAAGCCUCAUGCAUACUUUCCAUAUAAAGAUCAACUUAUAUUUAAUGCAGAAAAACACAUAAUUCCAGAAAACCCAAAAACUACAGCAACUACAAGUCUCAGAGGAAUGAAGGUGGAACUGCAAAGGGGAGAAAAGGUGUUAAUGCAGUAGUGCAAGGACUUUUCAACAGCAACCACAAUGCUGAGCAACGGAAAGAUGAAGGAUGCCCAUUCAGUUUACUAUAAGAUAAUCAGUGAACAAAAUUUGGAGAUUGUUGAGGAAUUUUAGAGUCAACAUCUGAAUACCGUCAAAUUUAAAAAAAAAAAGAUUGGAAGAAUGCAGUCUCAUGUUCAUUAUUGCCCAGCCAAUGAAGAAGUCUUUGCAAUUCUCCUCCAUCAUGUAGAUUUCAUUCCAGAAACAGGAACAAACAAAAAAUAGGACAGAACGAGUGAAGAACUUGACUAAAUCAUACCUAGCAACCAGUAGCUUUUUCCUGAAGAGAGAGCUACCACCACAAGAGAAUGGUCGUCCACCGACAAUACUCAGUUUCACUGAUGGAAAAUCAAUGCGUCUGUAGCCAACAUGCUCAUCACCUAGACUAACCAUUAUAAAUGGCAAAAGUUUGAAAUUGCAGUCCAUGUAUAAAUAUUGAAAAACGAAUAAAUGUUCUAUGUUGUUCUCUUUUAAUGUUCAAGUUUGGUUCAUUAGUUGACAAUGCAGUAAUGAAAUUACAGAUGUUAAUGCAACAGCAGCUAUAGCACCACAAAACAACAAGGCCCAACAUUUUUUUUCCCGUUAUGACGGAAUUUAAGCCUUCCCUAGAACUCUAUUCAAAUUUCAAGCCCUUAUACAUACAGGCCAAAGGACUUCCAUUCAGUCUUUUAUAAGUGGUGUAGAGCAGGAAUUUCAAAAGACCAACUUACACAUGCUAUGAAACAGGGCUCAACAAGCCAAAAAGCUCUUGCCAUAGUGGGUUUCAUGUGUACAAAGCUUUAACACUCCAUAGAGAUGUGAUGAAAAUCAUCUACCAGUCCAAAGUGACUCAAGGUAUCAUACUACUCUUCAUGGAAAAAACUUUUUGAACCCAUUGACUAUAGACAGUUAUGAAGUCAAUAACCCAUAGUUCAUUUUGAUCAUAUAUUGAAUAGUUCCAAUAGCAAUCAAGCAUUUUGAUCAUAUAAAAUUGUCCCAAUUGCAAGCAAAGACAGUAUCCGAGCAUGGAAAGGAAAAUAAAGAAACAAGUUGGAAGCAAUAACCCAUUUUAGAGAUUACACAACCAUAUGAUAUCAGUAAGAAAGACUUUUGCUCAUUAUCUAAUUAAGUGAAUUCGACUUAUGGACACAGAAAAGGCAUCUUAGCAACUCAAACGAAGAAAUAUCAACUUUGUUUAUAAAAUUUGAGCAUUACUUUCUGUUCUUUGCGCAUUAACAUGUUUUUUUUAAAAAUAAAAUUGGGUUUCAUGUCUCUAAUUCUAAUGAUCACUAAAGACGGAUACGCCAUAAGGUUCUCGAACCAAUUUUGAGGGAUUUCCACUUUGACCUGAACAGCAGCCUCCUCAUAUUUUUCUUCUAAUGAUCCAAGAGAAUCAGAAGAACAUAAUGAAAUGCUUUUACAUCAAACCUCUAGCUUUAAUUCAUAUCUAAGCUCAUUAAAUGACGACUGAACUAGUAAGACCACUAAGAAAAGAAUACCAGCUCCUAUCCUACUGAUCUGAACUUAAAAAGCAGACACUGAAUAUGCUGAAGUAUAAACUGGAAGCUCUUGUUACAGAAUAUAUUGAGUGAGUGGUACCUGACUUUCAUCUGCUUCAAUUCUCAAACUUCCUAAAAUUUAAAUAGAGCAACUCAAUAACUUACCAUUCUAGUUGAAGUUGGACAGGAUCCUUCUCCCUGAAAAGUAAAUUGAUGCAAAAAUCAGAAUGUAAAGGGAAAAAGUUUGAAGCCUAUGAGAUAUUAAUCACAAAAUUUAAUAUUCAGCAGUCAAAAAACUAUCCACGUGGUCUUGGGAAGCUAAAUAGAAGCCGAAAAAAGUUUAUAGAUGUACAUAAUGUGAUAAAUUAAGAAGUAGGAGAAACAUUAACAUUCAACCCAUGGCUUAAUAACUUACAGGUAAAAUUUUAGAUCUCGACAGAAAUAAAGCAAGAAACCAUUCUUCCUAAAAUAACUGAAAUACUUAUGUCAAAACUUGAAAACAAGGGCUAUAAAAUGUAACAAGACAACACAUAAAUCAAAGCCAAGUAAAAGAGCAUUCUCAGCCUCAUUGGAUGGAACAAGUUAGAUGUAAAUCCAUUGGUGUCGAUGUUGCCUCUAACUUGUUCUGAAGUCUUAUUAAUGCUUUCUAAAGGAGAUAACUGGGAUGCAGACCUAAUGGAACGUUAAGGGAGGGAAUUAAAAGUAGUUCCAUAUGCUUGUAAUCUCAUUACUGGUUACUAUCAAAGGUUUUCUCACAGCAUUCUACCUAAUUUUUCUCCCUAUUAUCCAGAGUUAUCAUGCAACUCUAACUUGGUUACCUAAUUACAGCAAACUUGGUUUGCAAACCAAGACUCCGUUUUCUCCGCAAAAACCUGAACACGAUUCUGGAACACGACUGAAUGAAGACAUCAUUUUAGUUCAAUUCAAAUCUCCUACGGGUUUAACAGUCAUCUUUGGAAGCUAGAAAAAGUAUUAAAAAAGCAUGUAAUCCAACUGAUAAUUUUGUCCAGUUGGCAGAAACUUGGAAUUAAAACAAUCCACAGAAAGUACAUUGGAUUUGUGACAGAUCCAUUGUUUUGUUCAUGAAAGACCAAAAGCUACAUUUGAGCAAUUACAGCCUGAAGGAGCCUUGCCCUAAACCAGCAAUUUCUAACAAUGCAGAAUUUAUGUCCUUGUAUGAUAUCACAUCUAGGAAAAGAAUUACUCAAAACAAGAAAAUAAAGAAAUGUGUCAGAAGAUUUAGCAAGAAAUCUAAUUGGAAGACAACAAAAAAUUGAAAAAACAUAAACUACAACACUUACAAUGCCACUAUAGUACUACAGUGAGGUUGGAUAUCUGAAACAAAGAGAAUAUUGUUUGUAUAUCUUAACAAAUUCUACUAUGUAUAAUGAAACAUCAAACAGAAAUCUGGACAAAGAUAAGUAAAGGAUUGGGCCAAUCAGGAACCCAACCUAACAUAUCCAGACAAGCAAUAGUACAGCAACAAUUUUGCCAAACUUCUGGGCAUAUAGUUAGACAUAGGUACAAAGUAUCCUACCUUGCAGAAAACUUUUGGUACCCCAUGCGUCGUGAUUCCCCAAAAUAACUGCUUUCGCAAUGUCAACCUCUGCAAUACUUCUUACAAGAUCAACAUUCUCAUUGCCAAAAUCACCUGGAGUAAAGCAGCAGAAUAUGCGUUGUGUGACGCUUGUAAAAUUUCAGGGUUUGGGUUACAGCUGGAAAUAAAAUAAGCUGCUGGAGAAAUGGAAUAGCUGUUUUUAUCUGUGGAUAUCCCAAAUAGUGAGUUCAAAGCAAGAGAUCGUGCCUGUGAAAAGCACCAAAUCCGGCUGCAUUUCAGAAAAAGGGCAUCAGAUUAGAGAAGAAUUCCAAGGAAUAGAAAGGAUAUUAUGCUCAACGUACAGCUGAAUUUGAUAUAAAACUUUCAAGUGAGCUUUAUUCUUUAUCUAACUUGUGCUAAAACCAAAAAAGAAAAAAUUGAUUCAUCAUCUACGUGUUAUUCCUCCCUUAGCUCCGUGCUAACUUUUUUUUCCUUCUGACUGUGUGAUAACUUAUCACCCUGACAAAUCAAUUCUCCUAUUCAUGUAAGCGCACAAUAAACAGUUCCACUAAACCUUUGUCAUGGAAUCAAACAUUCGCUAAAAUUAUUUCACCUUUUGAGUAUUAGGUUCUGGCCAUCAAACAGUUUCAGUUGUAAAAAAUGUCUCUUUCCUUGAAAAUAAUUAGCAAAUCCUUUCAUCUUUAAUUAUCUUUCCAUUCAACUCACUUAAGUUAAAUGCCUCAAAAAGAGUCCAUACAAAUAGCUAAUCCAUUCAAUCAAGUGUCCACUGGUUUGACGUACUAUUUACUUCACAUGAUAUAACUUCAAAAAGCAUAAACCAAACACUAAUGCAAACAUUUGCUAUCAGCCACUUCAUCCUGUGUUAGAGUAACUCGACUCUUAGUUCCAGCAACCACGGUUCAAUUCCAGGCCUCACCGUAUCAAAAAAAAAAAAACCCUUAUGCAAGCAUUUUCCUCCAAAAACAUCUUUAUCCAAUGAAAUAAAACUAAAACUUAGAAGUUAAAAAAAUUUUGGAUUAAUCAUUUUUUCUAUAUUGACUGUAUAAACAUAUUGCUAACGAGCACAUAACCUUUAUUCAAGAUUGAAAUUCUCUUUUUAUCAAUGCAUCAUGCAUCUACACCUGUUAGUCAAAAUUAGACUGUUCACUGCUGCGGCGAAUAUUAAAAUAAAGAAAUUAGGAGGUCCACAGGCAAAAUUGAGUAAUAAUUACAGCUUUGCAAGGUUAACAAGAAAGACCUCGAGGAAUUGAAGUGCUUUUGUAUCUUCUUCCAGACUCCAAUCAUCAUGCUUCAAAAUUUCAAUAAAAUGGAAUUAAAACCAUAGAAAAUGACAUCGUGAAUUGCGGGGCUGAGAGAUAGAAAGCUCACGACGUCGCCGACGAUGGCGAUUCGAGCAGAGGACGGCGUGGCCAUGGUGGAGGACCAGCUGCCCGGCUUUGACGCCGCUGAAGGAGUGGGAAUGCCAAGACGCAGAGCCGGCGCGUGUAGCCACGUAGUGCAGCUGAGCAUAAAAGUGUCUCUUUCGAUAGAGCUUCAACUGUUUCGAGUUCCAAGUCACGUUUUUGCCUCCAAAUAUUUAUUAGUAUUUUGUUCUUUUUACUUUCUAUCCCAAAAAAAAAGGGACCAUUGAAAAAAAUUGUAAAGCGGGGCAGUAUGGUUGGAUCGGGUAUUGUACUUCAGUCACGUUUGGAUUACUAUUUAUUGAAGUUUUUUUGUAAAAAAAUAUGCCGUAGCGAUUUGAUUUAAUAUAUGUGAAAUAAAAAAAUUUUAAAAAAAACGUAAAAAUUUAUUGAAAAAAAUGACAUUCCAAACAUUGCUCCAGUUGUAUUUUUUUUUUUUGACCAACUCGUAGCAGUUGUAUCUAUGCAGUAAAUUAGUGUGUACUCGUAAAUUUUAUGAAUAUAGCAAACUUACAUCAUAUUAUGUAUAACUAUCGAAAGAUUGUACGAAAAUUCCAACCAUACCUGCUCUUAUCCAUUAAAGAUAUACGUUAGAUGUUAAUUUUUUUUUUUUUUGGUACAAAGUAAUCCAUCAAAAUGUUUGGGUAGAUACUUGUACAUUUCUUUCUAAAUUUUUUUCUUGACCUUUAAUGUAACAAAGUAAUGCAUCCUCCAACUGUUUGGUAGAUAGCUAUACAUUUCCACAAAUUUUUUCAUAACCUUUUAUGUACUUUAAUACAACUUUCUAAUGCAUCUUCUUCAGUAUUUGUGCAACACUGGGGCCAGAACCAGUGGGGUUGAAAAUUGAAAUCAAAUACCUUAUUGACUGCAUUUCUUUAAACAGAUACUGGGGAUGAAAUUGAGAGAUUCUGGGGAUGAAAUUGGUUCAGUUUAUAGCAGAACAGCGGGGUUAAUCUCUACGUGCAGUUCUCGUGAUUGCUUCAGCAGUUUAUGUGAAUGUGCUCUGUUGGUUUUUUUUUUUUUUUUUUUAAAUUUUUUAAAAUGUGCUUUGUUUUCUUUGUUUUGUUUGGCAUUUUUUCAAUCAGCAAAUUAGAUGACCAACAGACUGAGGGUAGAUCAGUGGUUCAAAUCAGAGAACGAAAAAAGGUUGAUGGUCUAAGCAUCAUAUCCCGUUUACUUUAGAAAAAAACAAUAAGAAGAAUGAAAUUUCUAAGUAUGAUUAUUUGAUCUCUGCCCCGCUGCUAGGUUUCUCCUUCCUCUCCUCUCCUCUCUCAAAUCGGUAAACCCUUUCAUGAUUCAUCGAAGACCAGCCCCAUAUUCUAUUACCUAAAGGCGCCUCCAACACAAUGUCAGACCUCCACAGUCCAGCCAUAUGAUGCUGGUAAGGGCAGAUGGAACCAUUUCAGCGUCCCUUUGAACUGUUAUAGAACUGAAUGAAUUACAGGUCUUCUUAUGCUUGCAAUCUGAUUCCUUUGAUUGCACGCAAUUAUGACACGUUCCAUAUAGAGACAGCUCAUCAUCCUGACUUUCUUCUUCUUUCCCUUGUUGCAUGAUUAAGGAAUAUCGAAAGUAGUCGGUCCCUUUUGGUAAAGAAAGUACUGACCAUUCUAGAUAGAGUGGGCAAAGGAAAAGAUGGAUGCCCUGCUCCAGGCUCAGAAUUCUCCAAAUUCUCAAUGACAAUCGUACUCUUUGAUCAGUUUCUUGAUGUUUGCAGCACAUGGCUUUGAUGGGGGCAGGAAUCUCACCAACAUAAUCAUUUCCUGCACGCACGAUUGUACAUCAAUCAACUUCUUAAGGCGAGAUACCUCAGCAUGUGAUGUGAUUCAAUUCCAUGCCAAGAACUGAUUUUGGAAUUGCCAGUGAUCCAAAGAGAGGUGAAGUUCCUAGACGUUUGAUCGUGCUAAUGGCUGCCAAAGACAGCCCAUUAAACCUGAUUCUUAGGAAAAAAAAAAAAAAUCACAUGGAUACUGUGAUUUCUUGCUGUCCUAAAAACUCUUAAAUUUGUAUAGUCCAUUCUUCUGAGUUUGUGACAUAGGAUUGCAAUUUCAAAAUUGAUCAUAAAAAAAGUCUUGAAUUUCUAAAUCUCAAUAAACUAAAGGCGAAAUCAAUUCAAUAAGAAUUGACCAUCUUACAAACCCUGUAAUCCCACGCACGCACGUACUCCGCACGAUUACUCAGUCAGGAGGCAUUUAGGUUCAAGAAGUUAGCUCACUUGGAGCCUUUGACCAUACUGCUACAGUUCUAAGCUCCGCCUCCAUCUUGACCUGGAAAUUAAGUUCGUAUACUAGUUAAGAGAUGAGGUGAUACUGAAUUUAGUUUAAAUUGACCAGCAUUAUCAUCCUCAGAAUCAAAACUUUUCCACCAUUGAUACCAUCAGAUUUGGCAAUAUGAAUAAAACAUUUAAGCACUGAAAACCUCGUAAGUUGCAGUUGCACAGGAUCUUGCUGCUUGACGAUUUGCAGACAAAAUACAGAUGGCUCUAGGGCCAUGCUGAGAAAAUGACAGUAUUUUGGCAGACACAUCCUGCAAAGAGCUAGUAACAUUAAGGUUGAUGAGGCCAUUUGGCUUUUUCCUUUCAUCUAAACGCUCUGCAUGGCAGAAAUUUUUGAAACACUUUAAAGAAUGGAAGUGCCUUUCUAGUUGCCAACCACAUAUUCCGCACGAUCAUGCCUUGAAAAAUCAUUUGGUCAAUACAUCAUCGGUGUAAAAUUUGUCUUUAUAGCAACAUAUUGGAUACAUCAUAACGUGCGAGAAUUAAAAGAAGAUAUUUAAAUGAAUCUUAUAUUUCAUAUGCUCAAAUUCACUACUAUAAAAAAAUAUUGAAACCAAUACUUCGCAGGAGGUAGUAACAUGUAGUUUUAGUCUAUUCACUUUUGUGUGGGGAUGUUUAGGCUAUUUUCCUUGUAUAAUCUCUUGGUAACUUGAGAACAAAAGAUAAGAAAAUUGGACAUUUAGUUUGAUAAGAUAAAGUGGGAUUUCCAAUCACAUUUUUUUUUUGCUAUGUUGGCUUGAUAAAGAUCAUUGCUAAAGAUAAGAUAAUCUUUCACUGAUUACUGCUAAAUGUUUGAAAAAGAGUUGCAAUAUGGCAGGUAAAGUGUAAAAAUCUCUCUUUUUCUCUCCCAUGCACAACAGGUUAAAAAGGCUAUAUUCCAUCUAAAAUGAGCAAAUUACAACCCUACGAGAUCAGUUUCUAACCUUAAAAGGAAAGAGAACCAAACUGCCAAAGAUUAACUUGCAUAGCAAGAGUAUCAAGAACCAAGAGAACCAAAUUGCAAAAAAAAUUACACAAAAACUAGAAUUUGGUUUGGAACCAUCAUUGAUGAUUUCCUUAGUAUACAUUAUUUGUCUUAAUCAUUCUAACAUUUUUUUUUUUUAGAUAAAAUGUUCAAACUCAGCAAGCCCCUUUAAUUCCAUUCCUUCAAAAAUUAGAAAAAUGAAGAGAAGCACCAAAAGAGCAUUUUAGGCUAUUGAUUUUGAUUUACUUCGCUUAUAUAUAGAAGACCCUGACAGCAACCCGAUCGAGGAAGGGAUGGCUGUUAAAUGAAGGUCUUAUAGUCGAUUAGAGUACUGGUUCUUGGAAGCACAUUUAGAUUCCCUAGUUCGCCAUAGUGCCUAUCUUGAUCUCUAGAGUAGUGUUUGUUGCAAGGAAAAGUGUGAGAAAGUAAAGAAAAAUUAGUUAUUUUUUCUUUCAUAUACGCUUGUUUACUAGGAAAAUAAAAAACAUUUCUUGCACUUUCGCUCACUUUCCUACAUUUUAUAUCUUGCAAAAUCUGCAAGACUAUUUCAGGACUUUGUAUACUGAUCUAUUAUAUUAUAUUUUUAAAGUCUUAGCUACUGCCAACCACGGAGACCGCACGGGUAUGCAUUUUGCAGAUUUAUUGUCAUUUUGCUUGUAGUUUUUUCUUCAUUAUCACUACUUACUGACAAAGCCAAAGGCUUCCCUCCCAUGGCAAUAAAAAGAUUUUUUUAAGAAAAAAAGAAUGGGACUUUGCAGAGAACAAGGCAGCAAAGAGAACAACAAAUAGAGACGAAUUUAUGUUGUAUAUACUGGUUAGUAUAUUUCCAUAAACUUAAUACUGAGUCAUAUCAUUGUUGUUGUUGCUGCUGUUUUUUUUUUUUUUUUCUUUUAAUGAUUUUUUUUAUGGAGCUUACAAACUAACAAAACAUAAUGCCUAAUUAUAAAGAAUUCUUACUUGAUUCAUCAAAACUAUUCCCACUCAAGUUCAUUUUGAAAAUUCCGCUAUGGAUGAAAUCCACCAGCUACUCAUAUAUUCAACUAAGUGUAAUAUAAUUAUUAUUUUCAUUAAUAAUAAUUAACCAAUAUGACAACCAGAUGCUUCCACCUGCAUUGAAUGUUGGUCCAACGUUCUCUCACCUUUUUUUCCCUUAACCCUAAUCUUCAAGCCUAAAUUUUCAGGGGAUUAGUAUAAAUAAUUUUGAAUUAUGUUUUUAACUCUUUCUCAUCUUCAACUCAAAAGUUCAAAAUAUCAAUUCAAAUAUUAGAUUAUCUUUAUCAGAUUAUCGCUAUCGAAGAUACUCUACAUUUUUACUCAUAUAUAUGGUUAUCGAUCUAUUACUUAUCACUUUAUCAAGCAGUGCAGAUGUUUACACUUUUCCAUAAUGUUUUUGGAAUUUUUUUUUUCAAUGCAAGGACCGGAUUUGGAACUUCGUUUUUAUUCCCUUCAAUGCAAGGACUGCAUUUGGACUUUGUUUAUACUCGCUGUAUGUGGUCUGUAAUUUGCUACACCUUUUUCAUAGUUGGGUCAUUGAAUUUGAAUUUUCUAAAUCUUCAAAAGUUACAGUUUGGUUUUAUUUCUGGCAAGAUUUUUGUAAUUAAUUUGUUAUUUCAAUUUAUGGAUUCACUCUUCAAUUCAAGUAGAACACAUAUUGUUUUUUUGGUUAGUGAUUUAAAAGUGGCCAUUUAAACUAUGUGUUUUCACACGAUUUUUUAAUUGCCUUUGACAAUUUAUUAAUUGUCUCCAACAACAUGUUAAAUUUUUUUAUUUUCUGGGUUUUUGGGGUUAAAAAAAUUUUGUGCAGUUUUCAAUGUUUUUUUUUAGACUUUGAUAGAAAGCUUCUAAAGAACAAGAAGGUGUCAUUGAUUACAUAAAUGGCAAGACAUCAAGUUUAUUGUCAUACAGCAGUUCACGUCAUGCAAUAUACAUCAAACUAUUUAGAUUUUUUAUAUUUUUUACUUAAUAGCAAAAUACAUCUUAUGUUUUCAUUUUGGUUUCUGUUAGCCAUGAACAGAUUUAGAAGGUUGCUAUGUUCUUGUGACUUGAUUGAUUCUGAAUUCUUAUCUUUUAUUAAUAUUUCAUUCGGCUUCUUUUCUUUUCACAUUAACCUUUAAGCCAUUUCUAUUAAGUACCAAAAUUGAUGUUUUGGUAACGGGUUGGCCAUUCUUUUGUUUACAUAAGAUCAAUCAAGAUUUGAUCUUCCCUAUUUUCAAGUUUUUGAAUGUCAUCAUAUUGUCGAUUUUUUUUUUUGCAUUUCGAAUUAUUAAUCACUAAAUUAGAUAUUUAAAUUUACAUUAUAAGACUAUUUUUGAAUAACAAUAUAUUUAAGAAAGGUUAUAAUAGAUUAUACAAUAAAUUUGUAUUUUAUGAAAACAUUUUUAUGAACUGCACUAAAUAAUUUAUUAUUUUUAGACAAUUCCCAUUCAACAAUGGGUACAAAACUAGUUAUAUUAUAUUUUUAAAGUCUUAGCUACUGCCAACCACAGAAAGCGCACGGGUAUGCAUUUUGCAGAUUUAUUGUCAUUUUGCUUGUAGUUUUUUCUUCAUUAUCACUUACUGACAAAGCCAAAGGCUUCCCAUGGCAAUAAAAAGAUUUUUUUUUAAGAAAAAAAGAAAAUAAAAAAGAUUGGGACUUUGCAGAGAACAAGGCAGCAAAGAAAACAACAAAUAGACGAAUUUAUGUUUUAUAUAUUGGGACUUAAUACUGAGUCAUAUCAUUGUUGUUGUUGUUGCUGUUGUUUUUUUUUCUUUUAAUGAUUUUUUUUUAUGGAGCUUACAAACUAACAAAACAUAAUGUCUAAUUAUAAAGAAUUCUUACUUGAUUCAUCAAAAUUAUUCCCACUCAAGUUCAUUUUGAAAAUUCCGCUAUGGAUGAAAUCCACCAGCUAGUCAUAUAUUCAAUUAAGUGUAAUAUAAUUAUUAUUUUCAUUAAUAAUAAUUAACCAAUAUGACAAUCAGAUGCUUCCACCUGCAUUGAAUGUUGGUCCAACGUUGAAGAUAGAAGUACAUUUCUCAAUUGUUAAUAACUAGAGAUGCGAAUUUAACAUUUUCUUUAUAAGAAAAGAAAAUAUUUCAAUAAAUUUAGUUUCGAUUAUUAUCACUGGUGUAGACAUAGUUUUGGAACCCAUUACUAUCACGUGUAGACAUACUUCUGGUACUCGAUUACUGUGGCGGGUGUAGACAUACUUCUGGAACCUUAAAUCACUUACCAUUAUUGUUUUGAAACUGGCGAUGGAAGGAAAGUUGAAACCAUUCAGUCAUUUUUUUUCCUUUCUGUAAAUUAAAACCAUUCAGUCUCAUCUGGCCAUCACCAUCAUUGUCUAUAGUACAGCUCCUUUUUCCAUCCAGCCUUUCUGGCUAAUUGCUUAGAUUAUAGGUCAAAAAAAAAAAAACAUCCGCCAAAUGCAUAUCUGAUACAGGCUUGUUCUUAUUCUAUAGGUGCCGUGCUGACUCAACACUAAAAUUAAAUUUCGUAGAAGUCAAAAAACUGUCAGUGCGUUCAGCCUUGUGUCAGUCAGAACCGUGCCGACUGUGCACGGCUCCAACUGACACAACGCUGACAGUGAUGCUUCUGCGUCAGUCCGAGCCGUGCUGACUGUGCACGGCUACCAAAGCGGAGGUUAAACCAAAGUGAAUAAUCUUUUUUUUUUUUUGGCUCGAAAACACCUUCAAUGUACUUUUAAACAUAAAUUAUUUAUGCCUAGAAACACCAACUAUUAUAUUGUUUCCAUCAGAAUUACGCAUACGCAUGCUCUGUCAUUAUUUUCGAAGGGUACUUUGGAAUUUAAACCAAAAAAAAAACAUCUUCUUUAUCCAAAAAAUGAGUUUUUUUAGUGAUAUAUUUUGAAAUAGGUUGAUAAAGUCACAAAAACUUAAAAGUAGAAGAGACAACUAAAACUUUUUUCUCCUCUCUGGCCGCUAGAUUUCCUUCUCCAACAUGGUUUUCGGCAGUCGGCGUUGCAAAUUUUAGAGCAAGGGUGAUGGAAGGCUCUGGGGAAGUGCAAAAUCAACACAAAUUCCUCUAUUUUGGAAUAGAUCAACUUUGAGGGAGCAUAAUUAUGCUUACAUUGGAGAUACUUUAGAAUCAGAAUGGAUAGCUUACAUCCAGAGAUGAAGGUUAAGAGGAUAGUUUGGAAAAGCAGCAGCAAGGAAAGACUUGCGAAUGAAGUUAAUGAUGACCAUGAUAGCUCUUCAAGAAUAUCUCAGGAUGAUGACCAAAAAACAGACGCUGUUCUGAUUGUUCGCAUCUUACUGCAGUGCCAAAGACUAGUGAUACUGAUGGACCUGAAAAUCAUGAUGCACCGAAGAACUUCCAACAUGAUUUGCAGAACCAGCUUCUUUGUGAUUCUCAGAUGUCUAUGUUACAAACAAACAAUACACUGUAUCGGCCUAGUCUGAUGCCCCUUCUUCCUAUUCCCAAUUUGCAAGCACGUAGUUCAGAUUUGCGUAUCGUCUUCAUUGGAGCAGCAAUAAAGGGGGAACCGCGCCGGGCCACCCGUAGGAGCUGCAGAUAUUGGUGUUGGCAAGUCAGCAUACUACUUUCGUGUCACCCUACUGGAGUAAAGAAAGAUAAUGGUAUAAAUAGCUCUGCCCUUUUUCUUUUUUCACAUCUUGCUUGUGCCAAUGUCCAACUUAAUUACAUCCGUCUGCACUAAUUGUUGUUAUCCAAAUACUUCAUGUGUUAAAAACUAGGAUUGCAAAUACUUGUCAGAGCACUUUUUCUUUUAGAUCAAAUCCUCGGUGCGACUUAAUCAGUGACAAUUUGGUGCCACUUCUUCCUCUGAUGUCAGGUAUUCAGUUAAUUUAAAUUAAAACCAUAUAUCACAUGAUAAAUUAACUGAAUACUGCACACAAUUUUAAGAGUGGUACUACUGAUCAGAAAGUGGCACCGAGGAUGUCAAUUGCCUUUUCUUUAUAUUGGCUGGAACCUUAUUACAGGUUGCGGACAAUAUGGGACAUGGUUUAUGCAUUACUUGACUAAAGACAUCAGCUUUUCUAAAUGAAGUGAAAGGCAUUUUGGAAUGCUUAUUUUAGCAAAAACCUGUACCCCUUAUGGGCCGUUAGUAAAAAACUUGGGAGGUAUAAAAUGGUCAGGUCUUACUUUACAUAAGUUGAACUUAUAUAUGGAAGUAAUAUUUGAACUUCUCAAAAUUAAUGAGAUAAAAAAAAAGAAGAAGAGAUAAGUGAUAUUUUUUAAAAGAGUUUUUCUAGAGGGUGCUCUUAGAAUACUCGUUAAUAUAUCUAAGGUUUGUUUGGAUAGAAAUUUAUUAGCCAAAAUUUAUUUGCUUACAUCAUCAUUACAAUUUUCAAUGCACCUUUUUAUCUUCCCAAUUACCUUUUUAUCUCACAGACAUCACAUCACAAAAAGUGCUACAGUAAAAAUAUCUCAAAUAAUUUACAAUCCAAACAGAGCCCUAGUAUUUACUGAACCUAUCAUAUACACACACAAACACUAACAAUUAUUAUUUCUUUUACAAUUAUAUACUUUUUCUAUUUAAUUUUGCCUACCCUUUCUUGUAUUUAUUUAUUUUUUAAUUAAUAUUAUAUUUUUAAAAAUAUAAUAUUUGAAAUAUAUUUUAACGAGUGCUCUGUGGGCACCCACCCAUUAGGCAAAUCGUUUUUAAAAGUGCUAAGAAAUAUGGUCAAGGGAGGUUUCUAAAAUUAUCCCUUCGUUUUUCUUGGAAAACAGAAAAACUAAUCCAUAAAAUUAUAUAUGAGUUGUCCGACACGCAGGCCGCACGAUUCUUCAACUCGAUCUUCAUCUACGUAGAAAGGGAUCAGACCAACAUCAUUCUCCCGGAAAGGUCUAUCAUCCACCACAGUUUAACAACUUUCCCAGAUGCUGGGAAUGGUCAUUACAAAAAGGCACUGACUAAUGGUUUAAUUUUUGUUUAAUUGUCUCACUAAUGGUAAAACAAUUAGGCAUUUUCCUACUUUUUUUCCAUGGCCAUUCAAUUUUCUUUACUUAGUUUGUGAAUAUGAACAAUAAAGUACUUUUCCAAUAGUCCAGACUCAAAGCACCGUGUGGCUAACCCACGAAGUUGUAUACCACCUACACCACACUAAGGAUUAAUAGCUUCUACAGUUGAAUAAUUGUUCAGUUCUGUUCAAUUAUGUAAUUCUUAUAAUAUUUGGCAUAAACAUGAACUUAUCAACUUAUGUAAUUAAGUUAGAGUAAAAAAAUUAAGAUUACACUAAAUUGUACAAAUUUACGCCAGACUGUAAAAAUUAUGUCAACUAGACCGGCCCUGGCCAGCCCACAAAGAACUAGAACAGCCUUACGCAGCAAAGGAACCAGCAGUCUUAGGAUUGAAGGCAGGGAAUUGAUCCUCCAGAAGUAGGUUUUCAACAGGCAUCACAAACCUCCAGUCUACCAUUGGCUUGCAAAUCUGCCCAUCGAUCCUGCAGACAGGGGUUGUACUUUUCCUGAAUCGAUGGUAACAACCUGUGGAAUAGGUUGAGACGAAGCCAUGGAGCGAGCCAAAAACUAAAAACAAAGCAAAAACAGAACAAAGGAGGGGACGUGAACUAUGGAAACAACAAACCACAUAACACACACAAAAGAGCCAAGAAGAGAAUGAAAGAGCAAGAGAGGGUGAAACGGAGUGGAAAACAAAGAUGAUUAGCUAAAGAAAAGAGUAAGAUCAGCAGCAAAGGAAACUGCCAGUACUACAAGCUAGAAAUCCUCUCCCAUCAUCUUGGGAUAUGUUAGCGUCCCCAAUCCCUAUAUUCAUUUGUUGAAACUCACCUAUUUUAGAGGUUUAACUAUUACUAACAAGUGAUCGAUUGCAUUGCAACACUUGCAUUAAACUGUUGGCUUCUGGGUGCAAAUUUGGAUCUUCGAGUUCGACCUAAAAGGUUCAACACUACCUCCCAAGUCUUGUUACUAUCGACAGUGGUGGAGGGAAGGGGUGACCUGCGGGGGCAGUUGCGCCCUUAACUUUUGAGGAAUUGUAGUUUUAUCCGUAACAUUUCAUAGAAUUUGAUGUUAAAGUCCUCAUUUUGCCUUCCCUAAAGAUUUUAUUUAACUUUUUUGCCCUCUCUCGACUUGACUAUUUUUGUCAAAAAUCUUAUGCUCCUUCUCUUAUUUAAAUUUGUCUUUGAUUGAUUUCUAUAAUUCUUCUUGUUGUUAAUUUGUCAUAAAAGAUUAAUUUCUUAUUUUAACAAUAUAUAACAUUAAUACACCAUAGUUUUAAUUUGUGUUCUUCCAUAUGUAGUAUUGUGCCCUAAAUAUAAUCUUUGUACCUUUUCACUUUACGUCUAGAAAAAUACUCGAUUUAAUUCAAUUUGGUUAAUAUUUGAAACCAUCAUUUGUAGUAACGAAAAUCACAAUUUUUACUUCUGGAUUAACAUUCUUUAAGCAAAAUUUUUUUACAAUUGUUGUAUUUUAGAAUAACUUAUAGGUGCUCUUUUGUCUGUGAAUUAGCCUCCUUCAUACCAAAUCCUGGCUCCACCACUAACUAGCGAGUUGGAUCAAAAAGGUAAAAGUAUUCCGAAAGUCUAAAUAGUUCUCCUAAAAUCAAACCAAAAGAUGUUGCACAAUAAUCUUAAAAACAUCAAUUGAGAUUGGAAAACUUCAAAUUUUACAAUAAUAAUCUAGAACAUUCAGAAAUUUGAUUUCUUAGCGAUUGUUUUUUUUCUCCUUCAUUCUUGUGAUUGCUUAUCUCUGUCACUUAUGAACCGUUGGCAAAUCUAAUCUUUACUAAGUUUGAGCCCUUCCAAAAAUUUUGCUCUAGGUAUUUUGAUAAUUCUCUAUGAUCCUAUUUUAAUUUUUGGUCUGUCUUCGGAUACAUAUUUUUUUGGUGCAUUUUAAGAACUCUUCCUGGACGGCCUUUUGAAAUUUUCCUACCCUCCAACCAGGUCACAAGCUGUAGUAAAAAUUUUUCGCCUUUGUCCUCAUUUCUUCUGAUUGAUCUACAAUCAUCCACAGCCAACUUCUCAACCCCCUUUCCUAUAUCGUCAAUAGACUCAUUGCCACUAGAACUCUUUGAGAUCUUCCUUUUAUCUUCUUUUCUCGGUGGCCCUUUUCUUGUUGGAGAUAGAGAAGAUUUGAAGAUUUGGAACGUUUACAUAUUAAGGGCUCAUAUUAAGGUCUUAGGUACUGCCCAGCAAUUUAGCACGCAGGCCGCACGAGUAUGUAUUAUGCACAUUUGGCUUGUAGUUUUCUUCAUUCUCUCACUUAUUGAUGAAUGCUGCAGCAAUAACAUCAUUUCCAAGUUAAUAUUCAAGAAGGUUUUUAGACUAAAACUGCUACAAUUGCUAUUUCUUGGACUUGCAAUUUUUGCAUGCAAAAGAUAUAAAAAAUUGAAAACCAGACAUGGGGAAGUUAGUCUGCGAAUUCAUGUAACAAUCAUGAUCCUAAAAGCGACUCAAUAGGAGCCUCAAUCAAAGUGGUAUUGUCAUUGAAAAAAGAGAGAGGAAAGAAAAUUGAAGGAUAGAUGAAAAAUCAAGAGAAACUAAAAUCUUGGUAAUCAUAUAAGAGAAUGGUGUGCCAUAAUAAUGGAAAGCGAAAUAGCACUCUACAGUGUUUGUGUUGCUUUGCAUUUUCACUUCAAUUUAAUUACUUAAGCUUUUCCUAGCUUUCUCCCCGCGCAUACUAUUGUAACAACUCCAAGGAUUAAUACCUUAUGAUACUGGCAAAUAUAAAUAAUUCAAAACUGUUUUGCCAGAUUUGGAAAUUAGAAGAAAGUCUUGCUUAAUCUCUUGCUUGAUAGGCAUAUUAUAAUCAGCACAUGGUCAAGACUUUGGUCUUUUGGAAUAUUCGACCUCUUGAUCAAUCCACUUUACUGUUUUGAUCAUUUGUGUGGUCUUAACUACAGACAGAAGUCUGUUUUAAUCUUCUCAGUUCUGUGUCGGGAUGAAUUUAAGCUAUAUUCCUUAUAUUGUUUGAUAAGAUUAGAGAAUUAAAACUUUUAGUUUGAUAAGAUAUAUGUAGGUUUCUUAUUUCGCUUAUAGAAAACAUAAGAGCAGCCCAAGGAAACGGAGAAUUGUUAAGUGAAGGUCGGUUGGCUAAUUAGCAAAGUUUAUAUCUCCGAGUUCGACCUUGAGGUUUAACACUGCCACCAAGUUGGUCAAAAAAAUAUAUUCACAAAUUAAAUCUAAAUAAUUUAUAGAACUCCUAAUAUUGGAAAAAAUGUGUUACAAUGAAUAAAAUUUUAGUACUUAAAAAAUACCUCAAACCAAAUUUAAACACAAAACUACAUAUUUUACUUUUGCUUUAAAAAAGAAAGAAAAAGAAACAAGCCACUAGAGCUCAGAAUACUAGCUACUUUUACAGUAAUACUCUGGAAAUCAGAAAUCUGAUUUCUCAGCAACUGUUUUUCCUUCAUUGCGUCCCAUUUCCCCAUAAUCUUGUGAUUUUCUCCCUCUUGGAAUUUUUGCAACUCUUAUGUGGCUUUUUUUUUUUAUUAUUAUUAUUGUAUUCUUUUACUAAGUUUAACCAUUCAGAACGUUUGCUUCAGUUGCUUUAAUGUUUCUUUUGGGUCCUAUUCAAAUUUUUUCUAGCCUAAAGUUACCUGGGAGUUAUUUAUGUCCAGUGCAUUUAGAGGCCUUCCACCAGGGCCUUUCAAAAUUUUCCGUCCCUUUGAGUAAGCUGAGCAAUUUAAUAAAAAAAAUGUCUGCCUCUGUGCUUAUAUUGUCUGAUUGAUCUACAUCCAACUCCUGCAUUUCCUUCUCCGUGAGCCUGCUUUUCACCAUCAGCUACAGCCCUAGCUAUUGGCCGAUUGUCCUUGACUUCAAAACCCUUCCAACAAUUUGAGGUCUAUCAUCCACAGCCAACUCCCCCCUCCGCCAACCUCCCUUCCUCGCUUUUUUUCUUGUAACCAAACCACUCUAAUAUAAUAUAUCUUCCUUCCUCGAUGGCUCUUAUAUAUCUUAUUUUGUGCUUGACUUUAGGACAUGGUAUAUGCAACCCAUGUAGACUUAUGCAGAUCGAGAACAAUUUCAGCGUUAGGUUAAGUUGAUAUAGUAUUAAGGUCUGGGUUACUUCCUAGCACAUUGACCGCACGAUCAUGUAGUUUUUGUUGAUUCUCAGUUACUUACUGAUUGAUGCUACAUAUAUAAAACUAGGUUCCGAUGUGUAGAACGACAACAAUGACCAAAUUAUUAACUGCUAUAUAAAUAAUUCAGAAGUGAUUUCCAAAUGUAGAAGAAAGUCUUGCUGAUUCUCUUGCUUGAACCAAAGUUCAUACUUCAAAGUUCGCAUAAUUUAGUGCCUUAAUUUGUUUUCUAAUUUGUUUAUGUAGAUAAUUACUUUAUAAAUGAGUUGAGAGAAUAUUUUUACAUUUUUUGUGAAGAAGACACAUUCAUUUUCUGGUUUUAGCAUGUUACAUUUGUUAAGAGACAAAAUGUUUCUCAAUUCUUCAAAAAAAAAAAAAAAUCAGUCAUGUUAAUACAAUUUUAGUCCACUACAUUCAUUAUUAAAGGUUUUGAGAUGAAAGUCCAAAUUCUUUAAAGAGCAAAAAUACACCUAGGCAUUCAAUGACACUCUUGAAUAAUAACAUUACACCUAGGCAUUUAAUGACACUCUUGAAUGAGAACGUUCAGAGAUACGUCAUUUUGAUGACCGUCCCAGCUGCCUCAAAACCAUGUAGAUGAGUCUACGGGUGAACUCACUGACAUUGGUAGAAAAUAAAAAAAUUUCCUGUGCAGAGAAAAUUUGUGUUGGCGGUUUUCGAAACGUGAUUUUUUUUUUGCCUCAUAACAAAUAAGGACGGUGCUUAAUUUUCUAGUGCUUGGAUGUGUUCAGGCUUCUUUCAUGCCUCAUCAGAAAUAAGGUAAUAUGGAAGAAAAGAGGAGCAUUGUGGGUAAGAGGACAACGGCUCAAAUAAAUCGUCAAUUCAAGGAAAUGAUUGAUCAAUAUUAUGAGAAGAAGCAAAAGGAGAAGACAAUGAGAGAGCCCAUGACUCAUGAAAUGAACACUACUGAGGGGGAAGAAGAGGGAAGAACUGGAGUCAAGUAAAGUCACAAGAAAUGUCGAAGAAAUGGUUAGAAUUAAUAGCAGUAGCAAUGAUGAAGAGCAAGAGGAAAAUGUCAACCGAAAGAUCUUCAAUAGAAAGGGGAAGGGAACUGGUAAAAAGAUUUUCAAUGAUAAUGAGAGUACUGGAAGUGGUGUUAGGAUUUUGGGAAAGAGGAAGUUGGAAAAAUGAACUUGUAGAAAUUUAAUAGGAUGAGGAAGAGGAGGAGAGAAGCUAUUUACAAGGGUAAGAAUGAUGAUGGGGAGCUGAAAGUACUUUUAAGAUUUUGCAGGAUUAGUAAAAGGGUGAAGAUUUGAUAUGUUGCCACUAGAAGAGUUGUUAGUGCUUUGGAUAUAGUCGUAAAGGUCUCGAACUAAAAUAUAAAGGAAACGCACAUAAUAUUUAUUGUUUAAAUAAUUUACCAAAAGCUAUUAAUUAAUAGAUAAACGACUAACAAAACAUAUUGUUCAAAGAGAAGAGAUAGUCACGCACCACGCACACCUUUAUACACAAAAUUCUUGUGUACUCACUAGUGACUAGUGAAAAUUGGGUAUCUUAGUUAAAUUCCGCAAGAAAACAAUGAAAGGCUAUCCAAACAGAUGUAUACAGGGGUUCAAACUAGUUUAUCAAUUCAAGUCAUGCCAACUUAAGGCAGUUCCAAUCUUCAUCAACUAAAUAAUCCAAAACAUGCUAAGAAAAUUUGAUCUUAUGGUCUUAUGACAAAUUAAGUCCCACCCAUCAUCAUUCGUCCCGAGAAUUCAAUAGUCCCCCAUUAGACCAAAACCCAUUUAUUUUUAUCAUCUAGUAUUUCCUUCCAAGAAAACUUGUCAUCAAGCUAAGAUCAAACCUGCAGAAACCCACAUUCUACUUGUACCUUUAAUUUCCCUACGCAGAGAAAAUUUGUGCUGGCGGUUCUCAAAACAUGCUUCUUUCUCGCCUCGUAACAAAUAAGGAUGGUGCUUAAUUUUCCAAUGCUUUGAAAGCUUGUGUUCAGGCUGCUACACACCUCAUUAGAUAUAAGGUAAUAUGGAAAAAAGAGGAGCACUGUAGCAAAGAGGACAAGGACUCCAAUAAAAAGUCAAUUGAAGGAAAUGAUUGAUGAAUACUAUGAGAAGAAGCGGAAGGAGAAGAAAGAUGAAAGUGAGAGAGCCCAUGGCUCUCAUGAAAUGAACACCAUUGAGAGGAAAAAGAGGGAAGAAUUGGAGUCAAGUAAAGCCACAAGAAAUGUCGAAGAAAUGGUUAGAAUUAGCAGCAGUAGCAGUAAUGAAUAGCAAGAAGGGGAAAUUGUCAAUUGAAAAAUCUUCACUACAAAGAGAAAGGGAACUAUUAAAAGAUUUUCAAUGAUGAUGAAAAUAGUAGAAGUGAUGUUAGGAUUUUGGGGAAAGAGCAAUGUUAAGAUUUUGCAGGAAUAGGAAAAGGGUGAAAAAGUGAUAGCAAAUAAAAUGAACAAAAGGGGGAGGAAAACUGUUACUAAGGGCAAGAAUGACUGUAAUUAUGAUUUUGGCGGAAGUGGAUGUGAUGUUAUGUUUGUGACUGAAGAAGAUGUCCCUCCAAAUUUGAGAUGCAAUUAUGUAAAAGUUAUGAAGCUGUUUUCAUCUAGAGAAAAAGGGGUAGAAGUGAUGGAAAUAAGACAAAUGAAAAGAUGACCAUUGAGAGUGAACCUUUAGGGAGUGGAGCUCAAGACAAGGGAAAGGGUCUUUUGAUUGGGGAUCUUGAUGCUCUUGACUCAAAAUCUUCUGGCUCUUAAGAGGGUGCUGAUUAUUUUGUUAAAGACUUAGUGAGAAAGAAUCAAGGAGCUUUGAUAUCAGAUGUAGAACCAAAAAAAUAUAGGAGACAAUAAAUUUGAUGGAUAUUAUGGAUAUGGUGGUAAAGGUCUCAACCUGUAGUAUAAAGGAAACACAGUCUUCUCACAUGCAUGAUUGAUUUUUUUGAUCUAAUUCAUUUUUUGGGAAGUAGGGGUAUAUGAGCCACGAAAAUACACAAUGAAAGGGCAGUCUUGUGAUUGCAGUGACAAAGUUCUUCCUUUUUAAGAAAAUAGAAGUAGUAACUUGUGUAAAUUGUUUGAAGGUUUUUAACAAAUUAGGUGGUCAAAUAAAGGAUAUUUAAGAUCAAGUAAACUCAUCUUGAUUUUGAAAAACAGAAAAACCACAUGAUUUUUUGAACAUGUUUCACACAUAGGGCAUCAGGAUGUAAUAAAGGCAAAUUAUGAGACUAAUACCAGCAAAUUAUGCUCCACGACAUUCACUCCGUUGAUCUGGACGAAGGAUGAACAUUAUAAGAAGAUAUAAAACGGAACAUAUUAUCUUGAGAUUUUUUUUCCCGAGCUCAUUUUUCUGUAAUUUUUGUGUAAAUUCUUCCUUCAUAUAUCAUGAUUACAAAAACCAAAAUGAAAUUUUCCCAAUGAAUAUAGCUCUCACGAUCAAAAGAAGCACAAGCUUGAGUACGAGUGGAAAUGAUGACAUGUCGGGUUAUUAUCUUUGAAAAGAGAUACAAAUAAGCUUUAGAAGGAAAAGUCGAAGCUUUGCUAGAGAGAAAGAUGGGUUUAAAAAUAUGGAGUCCUGCCAACCCCGAAUUAUCCAGCCAGCCUUCUCCAGCCUUAUUUUCAGAGGAAAGUACAUUGGAACAGGGGCAGAAAUUACUCUUACACAACUCCGGCAAAAGCAAAAGCAAUGGGGCAGUGUUGUUAUUUUCUGUUUGCUCUGGAGAAGAAGGAAAAGAAAUGGAGAAAUUGCUUAAAAGAGACCUGUAUAAUAAGAUGUAGGAUUCUUUGUGAACAAAGUCAAUGGUUGACAAUUGAUUAAAUGUGCAUAACAUUGCACUUGCAAUAAUUAGAUGACUAAUUUCGACCAAAGAACAAAAAUGAGACACUUGUAAAUGUUCAUGACAAACGGCAUAGUUUGCCUUCAAUUCAUUUCAAUGUUGGUUCAUUUUCAAACAUGUAUGAAACAGAUUUUAGCUUUUAAAAGGGAAGCUCUUAGUCAUCUAGAGAGAGCAAUGAAAGAGAAAGAGUAGAUUUUAAGUGAAAGAGCUGCUUGGCAAUCGAACAAAGUAGAAGCUACUGUCAGAUUGCUACUCUAACAAGAGAAUUAGACAAAAAGAAGGCAAUUAAUACAUCUUUAAGAAGUCAAUUAAAUGUAGAGAGUACAAUCAACUCAAGGAUGAAGGUUCCAAGAGGAUGGGAGAUAUCAGAAAUGAAACAAUGGUUGAAGCCAUAAUGAUUAUAAAAAGUCCAAACAAUAUGAGAGGAUCAAAUUUUUGAACUCAAAAAAUCAACUCCUGGAAGCUGCACGCAUCAAAGCACUUGAUUUCGCAAAGGCCAACCACAUGCCAAAAUUUGAAGGCUAUAAACAUGAAAAAUUACAAUCCUGAUGAUGAAAAAACUUUUCAAAAACGGCCACGGCUUUGCUUGCUAAAUUUGUCGAAAUUAGGCCUUUUCUUCGCACCCUGUUUUUUAUGUUUAUUUUGUAGUUUUAUUUUUUUUUCACAAAGACCGUCAUUUACAAAAUUGGUAAACAAUUCUCAUAUUUUUAAAUCUAUGAAUUAAUAGAUAAAAAGAAUAACAAAAACAUUCUUCAUCAUCUGUUGAUAUUGAUAAAGAAGAGAUGGCACACGCACCUCGCACGCCUAUGUAUAUAAUAUACUAGUGGGGCAUUUUCCACAGCCAUGAAACUAAAUUACUAGCUCUUAGCAUUUGGGCUAUGAAUUCUCGCAUGUGGACAUUACCUCUUGAAUAGGGUUAGUGGAAAUAGGGUUGAAAAGUUGGUCGUGGGAGCUAGGCCGUGGAAGAUUUUGAGGUCUAGGACAAUAGCUUCAACUGGUAGUGUGAAGCAGGCUCAGUGAGAAGGAAAUACAAGAGAUCAUGAAAGGCAAGUUAAACGUAGAUCAUUCAAGCGUUAUAAACACAAGGAUGAAAGCUAACAUGCCUAAGCUCCAAGAGGAGAAAAGCAAUCGCAAGAAUGAAGGCGUAGUGGGACGCAACAUAGAAGAACAGUUGUUGAGAAAUCGAAUCAUCAACAUUCUCAAGUAGGCAGGUUGGACCAUUUAGUAUCGACCAAGAAGAAGCAAAGAGUACCUUGAUGCAGUUUAUGUUGACCAUCAAGGAAGAACUUACUGGUCAGUCACCUUGGUUUAUAAAAGGUGAAGAAAUGGUUAAAGAUUGGAUAGCAGAUGCUAAGGCCAUAUCCACUUUUACUCAAAUUCCAGAGGAUGAACUUUGCAAACUCUAUGGAAUUACAUAAGAGAAAGGGAACAAAUGCGAAUAGCUAUCAAAAGUGGGUAUAUAGCUAUCAAAUGGUACACGCCUACCGCACGUACAAAUAUUUGUAGUACUCAAACACUAAUAUAUGUAAUUCUGCCAGAAUGACUUAAUUUGUACAUGACUUAAUAUACUAGUGGGGCAUUUUCUACAGCCAUGAAGCUAAAUUACUAGCUCUUAGCAUAUGGGCUAUCAAUUCUCUCAUUUGGAUAUUACCCCUUGAAUGGGGUUAGUAGAAAUAAGGUUGACAAGUUGGUCAAGGAAGCUAGGCCGUGGAAGAUUUUUGAGGUCCAGGAAAAUAGCUUCAACUGGUAGUGUGAAGCAAGCUCAGGGAGAAAGAAAUACAAGAGAUCACGAAGGCGAGUUAAAUGUAGAUCAAUCGGGCAUUGUGGAAGCUAACAUGCCUAAGCUCCUGGAGGAGAAAAGCAAUCACAAGAAUGAAGGCGUAGUGGGACGUAACAUAGAAAAAUAGUGGCUAAGAAAUCGAAUCAUCAGCAUUCUCAAGGAGUAGAGGUGCAAACGAAUCGAGCCACGAGCGGCUUGAGUCGAGUUUAAACUGGUUGAGUCGAACUCGAACUUGAGUUUGAGCUCAAAAUGUUAAGCUCGUUAGAGUUGGCUCGCGAGCUCGAGUAUAUAUAUAUAUAUAUAUAUAAUUUUUAUUUUAAUAGUAAAAUUACAUAUAUAUCUUUAAUAUUUUAUUAUUUAUUAACAAAAAAUAUUAUUUUAUUUAUUUUUUAAAAAAUAAAACAAUUAUUUUUUAUUUUUUCGAGCUCGAGCUCGAAUUUCAAAAUUGUUAGCUCGUCGAGCUCGAUAAAACUAAGUCAAAGUUCGGUUCUAUUAAGUCAAAACUCCAUUCAGUUCGAUUCGUUUGUAGCCCUAUCAAGGAGGCAGGUUGGACCAUUUAGUAUCGACCAAGAAGAAGCAAAAAGUAUCUUGAUGCAGUUUAUGUUGACCAUCAAGGAAGAACUUACUGGUCAGUCACUUGGCUUAUAAAAGGUUCAAAGAAAUGGUUGAAGAUGGGACAGCAGAUGCUAAGGCCAUAUCCACUUUUACUCUAAUUCCAGAGGAUGAACUUUGCAAACUGUAUAGAAAUACAAAAGAGAAAGGGAACAAAUGCAAAUAGCUAUCAAAAGUGGGUAUAUAGCUAUCAAAAGGUACACACCUAGCGCACGUACAAAUAUUUGUAGUACUAAAACACUAAUAUGUGUAAUUCUGCCAGCAUGACUUAAUUUGUACGUGCGCUUGGCCUGUACCUAUUAUAUAAGGAGAAAUGGAGAAUAUCUUCCCAAAGUGUUGUUUCAUUAACUGAAAUAACUAGUGCUUGUACUUAAUUUUUGUUGCUUCACAGUGGUCAAGAAUAUCAUCUUUAUUGAUUGAAAAAUGUUUAUUUGUGACAAGUUUAAUUGUGAAGUCUACCCAAUUUCAUACUAUUAUCUUUCUUUGUUUGGUUAAUGUCCUAACCUUUUGUUUUAGGUAAAAUUAUAUGGAUGUAAUGUUCGUUAAAGAAAAAAAAAAAGAAAAAGGUAUAACCAAACAUUAUCUUGAAAAUUCAUUUGUUGUGCCAUAUGUUAAAAUAAAGAAUUUUGUAAAUGCGGGCACUAGGUUAACACACACAAGUUACCAUGAUGCGUGCACUCAUAUUUAUGCCUCUAGUAAUUAGAGAGCGUGUUGGUUUAAUUUCAAUUUUCCAAAACAAAUUAACAUUAAGAGGCACACUUUCCUUCUAUGCUCAUACAUUUUUAUUUGACUUUCAUUUUUUUUAUUGAAUAGAAAUUGGAAUUUACUCGUAUGAAUAAACAAUUUAAUAUAAUUUUCAUAUGCUUCAACAGUAACAUUCCACACUUAGACCCCUUAGUUUUACCAAUCAAGAAAGGUCUGUGAUAUCCUAAACUCCUAAAUAUACUAUUAGCAAAUUAUAAUUAUUCAAAAAGCAAAUAUAAUGUCACACUCUACAAUUAGAUCAUAAAAGAGGAUUUUCUGACAUGAUAAAGCGCUUAAUAAAUGAAAUUUGUAUCACUAGGAUAAUUAUAAGCACACAAUGUAUAAUUGGGUUUGGGGCCAUAUGCACCCAAAUUUGACCAGUCUAUGGUUACUAAGUAUCCUAAAAAGUUAGGUAUUUAAAAUACUAAGAAAAUUAGAAUAAAAAAUCCAGGUAAUUGCUCCCUGUGAGGACCCGUAAAAACCCUAAAUUUUUCCUAGGGUUUUAGUCCCUUAAAUUGCAUGUUUUCUGCAUUUUCUGGCUUAGAAAUAUUUUCUUGGUGGAUUUUAUGCGCAAUUAUAGUUUUAAGAUGAUUUUUCUAGCAUUGGUGAAUUUUAGAAAAUUAAGAAUAUAUAUUGGAUGUGGGACCCAUUAGUGCGAAACGUUCGGAAAAAUUCGGCCAAUAAGGUUAAGUUUCGGAUACUGUGUAAAAUUUAUCUCGGGUGUUAAGAGAUAAGUAGAGUGUGUGAAAUGAUUGAUGUGAGAGAGAAAAGAAAGAUAGGAAUGCAUUUAUGGAGAUGCCACAUGUCAUCCUCUUAUUGGUUGGACUUUAAGAGUUACUAUUCACAUUUUUGACUUUUUUGACCAAAGGAUUAAAUAUCUAAAAAUUGCUCAAAAAUCACCAUUUUCUUACCUCUUAUGGCCGGCCCUCUUAGCUCAAAGAAGAAGGAAAAAUCUUCAACUUCAAGCUUCCAUAUGCUUCAAUCUUCCACAAACAAAAGUUUAAGUUAGUUUUACUCCAUACAAUCUUUCCUUUUGGUGAUAUUGGUUGGUUUAUUGAAGCUUUUUGGAAGAGUUAAGGUGUCCAUCAUCUUUCUCUCUCUUGUUAUUAGGUGAGUGAUGCUUCAACCUCUUCCCUAUACUUAAUGAUGGUUAUAUGAUGCUUAAUGGUGGCUUGAGUGAUGAAAUAUAUGAUUUAUUUCUUGAUUUGAUGAGUUUUGGUGAAGUUUUUAUUUUAUUGGGAAUUUUUCUGGUUUAAUAUGAAUGGAAGGUUGUGGCCUUGUAUGAUUAAUGGUUAUGGCUGAUAAUGACUCUAUGAGGUGUAUUGGAUAAGAAAAUGCAACCAAUUUUGGAUUUGGUGUGAAAAUUGAAAAGUUAGGGUUCAUAAAACCCCAAUUCUGUCCGGUUUUGGAUCAUAGGGUUAGAGGCCGAAUUGGACUUUGCUCAAAACAUGAAAGUUGUAGGUAUUGAUAUGUUUCAGGUGCCUGUAAAAUUUCAGGUCAUUUGGAUGAGUGUAGAGUGAGUUAUGCCGUUUUUACUGUAGCUGUUCUGUUUUGAUCAGAAUGCGAAAACUGCAUUAGUAAUUGGCCCUUUUGACUGGAAUUGGUUUGGAUUUUGAAGUUGGUGUCUUCUGAUGAAAUGUAUCUGAAUGUCUUAGAUAACAUAUGCCUUUAGAAUUUCGGCAUUUGGACUUGUAUGGACUGAGAUAUACUGAUUACAGUUUUCUGUGUUUUGCAAACCUGUUUUGGUGAUUCUGGUUUAGUAUUUGGCACUUUUGACUAAGUUGUGUUAGGAACUGGAUUGAGUGGUCUUCUACAUUAUUGUAGCCCUGUUCCAUAGCUUCGAAACGGUGGGUCUUACACCCCCAUCCGAUAACCGUAGUGAAUUUGACGCCAUUACCGCAUAAUAAGGGCAAAACAGUUUCUAUUGGGGGCCAAGGCUAAUGCCAUUGUUUGAAUUUCUGGUUUGCUAUAAUGCUUGUAUAUGCAUAUGAAACCCUAUUGGGGUUGUGUUCAGCAUUGUUAUGUGACUCGUUAUCGAGUCUCAUUGCAUUUGUUUACGUGUUCUAGGGCGUGACGGUGGUUCACGACAUUCUCCUGACGGAAGUGCAUGAAAUAGCACUUAAUUGAUUGGUGAGUAUACUACUCACUUAAAUGUUAUUAUGUGGCUUUGCUAAAUGUAUAUGUGAUGCCUUGAAGGCUUACUUGGAUAUUGGAAUUGAUUAAGGUGAGGGUGUACUUGACCGCCCUCACCCCUUUUGAUAGUAUCACUGAUUGUCCACUGUUUCACUGUCUUACUGAACUUGAUAUAUGAGUUAUUGCAAUUCAUAUUAUGGAAACUGAUUUGGUGUUGUUUGGACGAUGUCCAACGAUCUUACUGUAUUACUGAGCUCAACCCCGUUUGGUAGUCAAUUGGAUCGAGCCGGCGAGGGCUUGGUCGUGAAGAUUGAAUUGCCACGGGGACUGUACUGGGGAACCUUGUGGUAUUGAGACCCUUGGUUCCGGUAUACUCGAGUAUUACCAAAAGCUAGUGAAUUGGAGUGCGGGCCGGUUGGGGAAUGUUGGGUGGAAGGAAUGGAAGUAAAGAGUUGUCUACGGUUGGUUAUUAUUUAACAUUGACGGAGGGUCAAUGAGGUUGGAUCAAGACAUAAGCGUGGAAAUGGGCUCUUGAGAGCGUCCGUAUCCUUUCACUGAUGUGAUUUAUUGCUUAUUUGCAUACUUGAACUGAACGGUUGUGCUUAUGUGAUCUUAGCUGCUAUGGUGGUUGUAUUCUCACUGGGCAUAUAGCUCACCCCGUUUCUUUUGUUUUCCUUACAGGAAUAUGACUCUUUUGGAAUGAAUUUUGGUUAAAUGGUUGCAAUGAACUAGAUGAAUGCCUCUUUUGUAUUGUAUAUAAAAUGGGACCCUAAAUGUUUCAUUAGGGCCGUUUUCACUUUUGUUUUGGCAACCCACAUAUGUAGUGACUUUUGUAUCACUUUAAAGGCCAUUGUGGCUUGUAAAUGGUUAAUGUUAUGUUGUAUAUGUUUUCGAGGUUUGGUUGGGUUUCGGAUGGGUCGGUUACUAUUCGUGGCCGACUCUGGAUUUCGUUUAUUUUAUUUUGGGUUAUUUUGCCCUUUUGCCUUGUUGCGCGCAUUAUAAGUUUCAAAACGUGAUAGAUCGCUUUGUACUGCACCGUUAGUCCUGGCGAGAGCUGGGCAGGCAGUCCGCUAACCCCUUUGGUUCGCCUUAGGGGAAGGUGGGGCUGUUACACUCCCUAUGAUUAAAUUAGGCUAACCUUGUUUUUUUUUUUUUUAUAGAAUUUUUCUAAUCAUAUAACCCUACUAACUAAGACUCCUAAACUUAAAUCCUGAGUUGAAAACUAGAAUUUGGUUUUUGGAGGGAAAGUUGAAUUUGACUCUAUUAAGAAUUUUGGUUUUGAAACUAUUUUUAUUGAAUCCAAAUGGGGGUACUUCUAUAUUUACAUGUAAUAUCUUAAAUAAAAGGACAUGUAACAUCUUGAAAAAUUUACUGAAAAAUCCUGAAUGCUAAUAGAUUGAAUCACCUGUGGACUGAACACAAUUUACUCAAACUUGAAGGACCAGUAUACAAAUAACAAACGAUUUCGCCAUCUUACUUCGAGUAGUGAUGUAACACAUAUCACAACAGUUGGCACGUUUAUCAUAGUUUGGCCACGUGUCACCAUAGUGUGACACAUAUCAUCCAAGCCAACAUAUGUCAUGAUCCUAUGAUAUGUGUUACAAUUUCAUCUCCUCUCUUGUUGAUUUAUUAUCAUCCCAUUUUCCUAUAAAUAUAGCCCCCAUCUUCAUUGUACGUCGAAACUUAAAAACUUUCACCUAUACUCCUGAGAGGGCAAAGAAAAGUGAGUUAAAGAGAAGAAAAGAAAGUGCAAAAAAAUUCAUAGAAGAUAGAAAAAGAAGGCCAUAAUAUGGAGAUAGUGUUAGAAAAAGGUCAUAGCCUUUCUUUUAAUCCGCAAGAAUGUUAUUUUUGGAUGCUUAGUAAUGGCCUAGCCAUGAACUUACAUCAUGCAACUCUAAAUCGAUGCUCGAUUAGUCUUCAGGAGUUUUCAUUAAUGUGGAAGCAAUCUUGGUAGAACUUAGACGUCUAGUUGGUACUAUCAUACAAAACCUAGAAUAUAAACUAUUGCAUUUGUUUUCUGUGGGCGUGCGCAAUCCGUGUACCUUAACGUGGAAAACAUGUUAUUAUCCAUUAUACAUUAACUUGAAGAUUCAACGUUAAUAAUAUUUAAACGAGUUCUUUUUUUUUUUUUC